UCUUAUUAGUUAACAAAUCUAAUAAUAGGAUGCGAAGCUAGCACAACACACAAGAUAAAAUGCAUACAAGAACUCAAGGGGGUUCUAUUUGAUUUUGUAUUGUGUGAAAGGCCUAAUACAGUUAAGUGGAGAUAGGCCUCCGAUCAGCAAUGAUUAAAUCACCUAACGACGUUGCAACAGACGAAAGGAUAAAGGACCCUAAUACCCCGCUCAUCUAGAAACUGAAAGUUUCGCUUAAAGUGAAGAUCUUUGUGUGGCUAAUUCUAAGGAAGAGGGUCCUCACUCUAGAUAAUCUAAUUAAAACAGGAUGGCAUAGGGAAGAAAUAUGUGUUAUGACUGACAAUGAUGAAGAGACAAUGGAUCACUUAUUUGUUGGAUGUGCAUUUCUUCUAGCAGUAUGCUCGGGGUUGGGUGUGGAAAUGAGUGAUCAACUAAAGAGAAAUAUGAGUCAUGUGGGGGAAAUAUGGAAAGUAACUAGGGGGGAAAAGUACACCUAAAGAAGAACGAAGAGGUUGACCACAUUAACCGCUGUGUGGUGGGCUACUUGGCAUCAAGGAAACAACAACAGUUUUCGAAAUAAGGAUAGAAAACCAAGACAAGUGCAGAUGGAAUUCUGAGGUUAAUAUGUAAGGAAUUGAAUCCUCGAGACGUAAAACCGAACUUCGAUCAAAAUUGAUCGACGAUUGGUUUGGGAAACUUCGGAAUAUCCGAAAUCGUCGAAAAUGGCUUUAGAGGGUUAGUAAGGACCUUGGAGAGCAAGAUGUUAAAAUUCUGCAAUUUGCAGAAUUUAUACGCUCUCGGGGUCCGGACCCUAGCUUCAGGGUCUAGACCCCAUAACCCGAAAAUGCCCAGUUCAGGCAGUGUGUAAAUGGAAGAGUUAGAGGGGUUUUUGGCAAUUUUGCCAAGUGGGGAGUUAAAUGAGGGGUUGUCUCUCUCAUUUCUCUCAUUCUCUCCCAAACCUAAACCUAAAACACUCUCCCUCUCUCUCUCUAAGCUCUCUUUCUCUAUCUCUUCAAGGUGGAAAGGAAAAGGGAGAUUUGGUGGAGAUUGGAGCUUGGGGGAAGAACACCAUCAUCAUCUUCUUCCUUUGCUUGGAGGGAGCAAGCUUUUGAGGUAAGCUUGAUGUUCUCUAAUGGUGGAUUUCUAGGGUUAGGUUUAUAUGCUCUAGAAUUGGUUUUAGUGGAACCCUAGGAUGCUAAAUAGAUGCUUAUUGCUUGAAUCAAGUAGUGGAAAUGGGUUUCUUGCAAUAGUAGCAUAUGAGCGCUCCAAAAUGGGGUUUUGUAAAAUGUAAGGGCUUGAUCUAAAUUAACCCUAUACAAACCAAAUUGCUAAGUAUUCUAACGUGCUGGUAAAGUCGGUUCUCCAUCCGUCGAACCUAUGCGAAGAUAUUGGGAAAAAUGACCGUUUCGGCUUUGUUUCCGCCUGGAAGGCCGAGGCGACAUCCAAAAAUCGUGAAACUGGAUUCCUAGCAUCGCGGCAUCACCUAGAGAUGGGGGGUGCCAUCUGAAGCCAUCGAGCUUCCUUCUAUGUCUAUGUUUGCAUGGUCGACCAUGUGAUUUUCAUAUUGCUAUGCAUUGUAGGAUUGUGAUAGUGGUAUUGCCUAUUCCUUAAUGUUUCCAUAGUUGAUAUUGCAUUGUGAGGUGGAUGCAUGAUGUAGUGGAUAUCUAAGGAUUGGGUCUUGAUAAUGGAAUCCUAUAGUGCCGAAACAAGUGAUGAACUUGACGAAUAUGAAAUGACGUAACGAGUGGCAUGUAAAUAGAUGAAAACAUGGACGAGUGGCAUGUGAAUGUAGUUUAGUGGAAACACUUAUUGUAUGAGGAACUUAGGGAUAGAGGAAUUUCCCGAGUCGUGAUAUGUUGCAUGUGAACUUAGUGUAGAUGAGACACUUGAACAUGAACAUAGGGAUAGUUGAAUUCCCGAGUUGUUGAUAGCCCUAGUUGGCAGGAUGUCCUCAGUGGACGAGGACUGGAUCAUACUCACAUAGUCUGUUUUGGACUUGGCGUGGUCGCUCCACCUAAGUAGUGCACUCCGAAGUUGUCACACGAGGGACAGACGUAGUUGUCCCGCAGGCAGUCUCGGGUGGGAUGUUGCGGCGGAAGCUCCUCACCUAUGGGAUUUGAGAUGUAAGUCUGGGGCGAACCUUCGGGUUAGCCAAGUGAUUGGGUGAACAUAUGAAUGACAGGUUUGUUGAACAUAGUAGCAUGAUAGUUGACAUCAUUACUAUAUAUUUUAUGCAUUCAUAUUGAUUGAGGCAUAGUAGCAUAUUUGCAUACUUGAUUACUACGUAGCAGUUGAUUCAUAUCUACCUAUCUAUCUAUCUGCUUAUGCCUGCUUAGACCUAGUGGGAAGAUCGGCGGAUUUGGUGGCCGAAUCCACUGGGAACUAUGGACAAUAGUUCUCAUCGCACUUUGUUGCAAGGCCGAGUUCGAGCACACCGGGCGAGGAUCGCGGUAAGGGCAUAGCGCUCUAAUAGUGAGUAGCUUUCCUUUUUGCAUUAGAGCACCCUAUGUACUUGAGAGUGAUGAUGUAUAUUUGGUAAGGAUGCAUUUUGGAGAGUUGUACAUGUUGUGAGAUGAUUAUGUAGACUUCAUGUAUGCAUUUUGGGAGAUGUAAAUGUAAACCCGAUGUAUAUGAUGCUAAAUGGUCGAAUGGUUGUAAUAGUUAGAACUCUCUCUCUUUUGCUCUUUUGUAUGCUUGUAUUUACACUCGCAUUGAUCAUGUAUGUUGUUUAAGUUUACCUGGGCAACUUGAUGUACAUGACUUUAUUAUUUAGCCUUGGGCGGACAGGAGAGGUGCUGUUCGUUCGGGUCUGUUCGACGUGCCCGAACCAACCAAACUGGCGGUUGCGGAGCGUGACAUAAUAGAUAGUUAGGAAGAUCUUCGUAGAAAAUAGCUUUUGUAACUUUUGUUUUUUUUUUUUUUACCCCGGCUCUCGGGAGGCUUAGUUGCCUCAUGAUUGUAGCUUAAUUCAUUGUUUUGAUGAAUAAAGGCUUAGUUGCCUCAUGAUUGUAGCUUAAUUCAUUGUUUUGAUGAAUAAAGUCAAUAGCUUGCUACCUUUUACUCAAAAAAGAAAAAAAAAAAAAAAAAGGCAUCCACUGCAGUGACCAUAUAUUGUUAAAAGCAUGCGUGUGUGGAUAUUUAGCACAAUCACUUGACUUGCUAUUAAUCUGAAUAAUAGAUAUGAGGAACACAUAAAGAUUGAUUCAAGAAUACAUCUCAGCACCUAUACUUAGUUAAAGUUAAAUUGAGAUGCUGGGUUAUGGCUUAUUUACAAAGCCAGGUUUCUGCCAUAUUUUGACCAUAUUUUGACCAAAUUUAGACUUGUUGUUCCAAUUAACCAAAGUUACAUACUCGUUUAGUUGGAUGGACUUUAAAAUGAAUUUACAUAGACAUGCAGACACAGGAGAACACACAGAUGAGAAUGAAUUUCCACAAAUUUGCAAUAUUAAACAGAUAUUUUAAAGUAAAAUUCUUCAAUAAAGUGAAUAAUUGAGAAGAAAAGAGGAGCAAUACCAUAGCAAGUUCUGGAAGCUUUUCAGCAUCAACAAAUGUAUGGGGUAAGAGCUUGAAGAUCUCUUGUGCACCCUGAGAAACUAAAAAAUUUAAAUAUAGUUAAAUGUAAGAUUCGCUCACUAAACGAAGAAUUGCUGUCAACUGAAUAAUCCCUUUUUUUUUGCAUGUAGAUAAUUUUCUAUCAUUUAACACAAACUUAAGUAUAGGAAUUACCAUAUACUUUAUCCCCAUCUAUCAUUUCAGUUUAUGAUUUCUGGAGGCUAAGCUUAGUAUAAAAAAAAAAAUCACAGAAAGGCUUGGUAAGAAGCACUAAUUGUCUUGGUAAUAAACAAAGUAUAUCAUGUAAGUUUCGUUUGACAUAUGCACUACAAAGCUGCAAUAAGAAUGAUAUAGAAACUUAGCUAACUCAACUUAUAGUGUGUUGAUCCUGAAGAGGAGAACAAUGAAUCUGCAAUCUAAAGAUGAAAUUUAUCUCCAAAGCCAAACAAAUAACUACAAAGCAUUAUUUUCUUACCAGAGAUAUCUGAAAAAUGAUAUUUGGUCAUUUAUCCCCUUAAAGGAUCGUAGGUAUUAUCAUAUUGUCCUUUUUCCUGAAAUUCUUAUUGUACUUCUUGACGCAAUUUAUUGGUAGGAUUGAGCUUUUGUAAUAUUUGGAUUGCUAUAUUUGCAUAAAAAAAGCAAAUUGAAUCUUUGGAAAAAAAGGUGAAGUCAUAAAGUUGAACCUUUAUAAGUUUGAUACAUGUCCAUUUCUUCCUCGAAAGGUCUAUUUCUUGAUUAUUACUCUAAACACUAAAGGAGAAACCACUUACACAGGACACUAAAUCCCUUUAUGAAACAGAACUGUAUAUAAUAAUAUUUACCCAUAUAUCAGAUAAUUGCCAAACCUUAAAAUCACCCAAUUUCAGAUUUACCCUCUGUUUCAAAUAUAACCCUUUGAACUUUGUCUGUUAUUCAUAUAUACCAUACUUUGAGGAUGUAUUUAAAUGAAAUUGAAACUUUACAAGGGUAGAUUUCUGUACAAGAAUUUUUGAGGGGUAAAUAUGAAAAUCAAAAACUUUUGAAGGUUAGCUAGGAAAUAACUCCUAAAAUUUAUAUUAAAACAUAUGCAAGGAACUUUGGCUUUUUUCUUUUUCUUUACUCAUCAAAAAAUACUAGAAUAAUAUAAUUCUGGAGCUUCUAGAAACUAAAAAAGUGUCAAAGAACAAGGAAGAGAGAGAUAACAUGCUACAGAGGUAUUGACCAUGACUUAAAUUAUAUGACUAAAGGAAGAAGCAUAUUCUGAUUAGGAAUUUAGGCAGAUACCUUAUUUCAUGCUCAACUAAUCAAGAUUUGUAAAAGAAUAGAUACAUUGGCUAAGUAACAUGCCACACUAUAUUUUCACCAAAAUCUCAAUAGUCUCCAUAUAAACAAGAAACUGUAACAAGAUACGAUAAUUUUAUGGCCUUGAUUUAUUAACAUAAGGUGUGUUAUAUAACUAGCUACAAACAAAACUAAAAUAAACUAAGAUAAAACAAUAUAUUGAUGAUUUUAAUUGUCCUUUUAUCAAUUAUAUUACAAACACAUGAUAAACGUAGAUGAGAACAAUAAAAAACAAACGUUUGCAAAACAGAAAUAGUUAUGGAGUUAAAAGUACCAUUUCCAUCUCCAGUGAAUACAAAUACAAUGGGGGAAAUUCCAGAUGGAAGUCCCAGCGUAGCUAUUUCCUCGCCGACGGCAAGUACAGCAGCCUUUGCCGCAGCAAGAGAAGGAUACAUAUAAGAUGCUCCAAGCGAUAGAAAAGGUGUAGAAUAUCCGAGACAUAGGUAUCCUGGAAUGAUAAAAACAUAUUAAACUAUUUAGGAUACUAUCAUUGCUAACAGUUCCAGAAGCAGAUAGAUGUAUACAACAUUCAGUACUAUGCUUCCCAGAAAAUAGUUGUCUGAAAUAUUAAAGCUUAGAUUGUAAAUCUCAUUGAAGCCAACCUGCUAACUAAUCACACAGAAUCACCUUUAAUGAAUAUAAAAUUCAGCAAAAGUUUGCAAAAUAGAGAAAACAAGUAAUAUGAUUAUGCCAAUUUCCGCAAUCUACAAAUCAUAGAGACUACCUUUAACAUGUUUUGGAAAAACAAAUAAAUAAAUGAAUAAAUGUGUUCUGACUGGAAAAUUGAAGAGAAAUAUAUAUCCAUCUGGGGAGGAGUUUCAAGAUUCUUACGUUGCCCCAGACCAUGUAAGAAGUCUAUUAAGCCUGCUCUCCCCGCAAAUUUUCCAAAUGCUAGCAAUCUCUUCCCAUCAUCACCAACAAUCAGUUCGUAAUCAAAUAAGGACACUCUUUCAGCUAGAAUCUACUUGAAAUGUCCAUCAAUUAAUAAUAUAUAUUUAUAUAGAUCGAUAGGAAUGACAACAGGGUGCACCAUCAAGCAUUUCACCUUAUCUAGCAAGGGCAUGUUUUCUUUCUGGGCCUUGUGGGUGUGGGAAAAGAAGGCGUAUGCUCUAUCCGGAAGUAUCAUCUCCAACUGCAAAAUCGAAUGUAUUUCAAGACAUUCAUUUCGUAUACAAGCUCUAAAACAUCAAAUAUUCGAAUUUAAGAAGACACAGCAACUAGUUUGGGGUAACCUUCGGUUGUUUUAUUCCUACAAUGAGACCACAUUCUGAUAGAUCAUCGGAAAUUUCACAUCCAACAUCCUUGUAUUGGGCAUCAUGAUGGAUGCGCUUCAUGCUUGGCUGCACGAUAAUCCGUUCGACUCCACUUCUGCCCUUUCCACGGAGCAGAAGGCGAGCACAGUGAGAGGGAGUUAAGGGCGCCCGCCUUUCCCACUUGUUAAUGGACUCGGAAAGUAUUCCUACAAUUCCAUUUCCCAGCAGGCUGCAAUUUUCCUGUAACGCCAAAAUGUUUCAUAAGUUAAGGCUUUACCAGAGUGUUUCAAGAAAUUGUUAAGCAAACAGGCCAAGAUCCCGCACUUCUCUUCUUGUAGAAUCCAUGAAGAUUCACUCUGUCGCAGAAUGCCUAAUACGGUUUUUGAUUCUUCCUUUAUCCACCUGGAAAUUAUCAGACAUUUUAAGAUGAACCGUUUUAAAGAUUGCCAUCUCAUGAAGAAUUUGAAAAUUUCCAUUUCUCAAUGACUGGAACAUCGCAUGAUGGCAUGAAAUAAGCAGAGAACACAAAUUAAGAUAUAUUGUAAAAAAAAAAAAUAUGGCUUACAAGUAAGAGAUGAACUGCAAAUUCUACAACAACAUUGCAAUCAAUGUUCUUUGAGCAACAAUGUCAAGAAUUCAACAUAAAGACGACAUUACAGAGUACAUUUCGUUUCUUCCAUUUUAAUCAAAUACACAAUGUACGACCAAAACCAGAAAAUUCCACAAUAUCAAGAAGAAGGCGGGAUUUUUUUGCAAAUAGAAAUCUACUUGGAGCGGUAUGCUUUCGUGUACAUUUGACAUCGGUUACCUAAUAAAUAAAUGAAUGUUGAAAUUCAAGAACUCGAUUUUUUAUACGAAAACAACAAACCAAUAAAAAAAUAAAAAUUAAAUCAAAACUCAACAGUCUUAGAGCCGAAGACAGAGCCGAGAAUAAAAUUCAAGAAAUAAAGGGAUUAAGCCAUGAAACAAAUGCUCGACCGGCCCAGAAAAUUUUGAUCAAAGAAGAAGAAAUAAAUGGGAAUAAUAGGACUCGCAUAUACUGAGUGUUGCGGCUGAGACUUGAUCAAGGAGGAGCCAAAAAUGCGCCGAAAAUAAGGAGAGAGAGUGUGGGAAAUGGUUUUACUGAUUUCUAGAAGGAUAGAAAUGUCUAUUGUAAUAAGUAACAGGCACUAUUAUAUGGAAGAAAGCCUGAAAGAGACAAGGGCGCCGAGCCUGAACUAAAAGAUGGUGGACGGUCAAAGUGGGCAACGUUGCCGCACAGAAAAAGACGCGAAAAAAUGUCCCACUUCUCUCCUUCUUGCUUGUGCAUUUUUUAUAAGCAGUGAUGCUACACAUACGUCACAAAAAGGUUAACUUUUUAUUUGUCACGCUCCAAAUUCGAAACAUAAUAAACACCGUAUACCUACUAAAUUAACAAAUAUGCAAGAUUAUAGAAAAAGAGAGAAAACAAGCAAAAUAAUGAUUACGAAAUUUUUCACUAAAUCCAAGAAUCAAAAGAUGAGACUAACAACUGAACUUCAACUAGAAGCAAAUGAAUUCUCACAUAUAUAAAACUAGAGUUUACUACGAAACACAAACGAAAAUUCGCUCCAACAAAUACCAUAAAUAACAAAAAUGCAGGUAUGAAGAAAUAACGAAAGAAGAUAAACAAAUGAUAGUUUACAAAGUUCAAAUAUUCACAUCUAAUUAUACUAAACAUAAAAACAAAAGAAACUAAAUUCAAACAGUAACUAUAUCUAACGUUCACUCGGUCCCGCCCCCGCCCGGCAAAUCAGUCUCGAUAUCUAAGUAAGCAACUAUACACCAUAUUAGUCGUAUUAAGCAUACAAACAAAUAUGUACAAAAAUUAAUUUAAGCGAUACAAAAUUUCAAAACAUAGAGAUUAUUAGAAUUUAAAAUUCAGAUCAAAUAGAAACUAUAAAUUUACAAAGUAUUUUCUCUUUCAGCAAAUAAACGAAAUAAAAAUUAAGUCUCCGGUAACUAACUAUAUCAUGUGAUCCGUUGGCGAAAUCCUAGGCGCAAAACAAAAUAGAGGCACCCGAAUGUGUCUAUACAGAACAGAGGCGCGCGAAAACGCAAAUACAGCAUAGGGGCACAAAUAGGCACAAACAUCCGGAAGCGCAAUACAGAGACAAAACUAGCUUCUAUAACAGAAUACAUAUCAACAUAGCUAACAUUAGCAUACCAGGAUACCAAGAGACAUUACAAUUUAUCCGGUCACUAAUUUACAGAACAGAUUAUCAAAUUUUAAAAUUAUUUUGCUAAAAAACCUUUCAAUCACAGUUGAACUCAGUUUACAGAAAUAUUUAAUAAUAUGCUUAACUCUUAAUUUUAAGAUCUAUAAAAUAAAGAUUUUUGCACAAUUAGAAUAUUUUUCUAAAUAAUUUUGCAAAAGCUAAUGGGUCUCCGGUCGCUUACCUCAAAAACAGUUUCUAAGCUAAUAAGCUAUCCGGUCAAGAAUGCAAAGGGAGCCAAUUCACCGGAACCUAAAACAGAGAAUUACGAUUCUUUAUGAGCUACUAAAAAUAAAAUUACAAACUAAAAAUAAAAUUACAAAGGAGCAGAACUAUUAGAAGAAGAGCUUAUAUAAACAAUUGGUAACAAACACAUUCAACUAAGUUGAGACGGAGCACGAAGGAAUUUAGAAUAAUAAGCUCAGCAAAACUUAACUAUCAAUUAAGAAGAUGAAGAGUUUUAAGAAUUAAAUUAUUCAAAGAGGUAAGAUAAUAUGAAGAGAAUUUUAAAUAAUAAAAAGUUUCUAGUAUUCAAAAAGAGGAUUUUCAGAUGUUGAAACAUAAGUUUACAACCAAUAAGAUGGGAUCAAGAUUGAAAACAAAAUCGACAUAUGCCUUCUCUUAGACAUUUUGUCGAACAUGUGAAGGGCAUUUCGAAAGGUGUGCAGAAUAUACAGAAUUUAUACAACUAAAUCAUAUGGAGAAUAGGGGAUAAAAUUAAGAGUAUGAUCAAUAUUAAUUUAAAUCAAUAGAAAUCAGAUUUUAAUGGUUUCAAAUUUCAAUUAUCAAGAGAUAAGUAUUUCAAAAAUAAUAAUAUAAUAAUAAACAAGGAGAUUGGAUGAAUCUCAAGAUUCGGUAUGGAGAUAAAGAUGAAAGAAAGAAACCUUCUCUCAAAGACGGUAACAACGACGAUGAAGUGUCGUCCACGACGAACAAAAAUGUCGAUAGAUGAGAUGCGCGGCGGCGGCGGCCACAGAUGACGGUGACGACGAUGUUGAUCAAGCGGCCUCGCGCGUGCAUGCAAGGCGGAGAGGUCGUACGGAAGCGAGAUGAAGAGGGAGGGCCGGAUGGCUGUGACGAACAGGAGAAGAGAACGAAUUAGAGAUUUAAUUAGCGUAAAAUGCCGCCAAGCCCCUAUACUCUUAAUAUCCACCAAAAGGUCCAAAAUUUAAAAGAAUGAAAGUCUUUUUUUGAGAGAAAAGUAGCGUUCUAGUCGAGUUUAUUUUUUUAGAAAAUAAACUUUGGCUGGAAAUGUGAAUCAAAAAGAAUUAAAAUUUGGGACCUUCAAUAUCAACUAUUAAAUUUUUUGCCACUUGCGUUAGGGUUGGUCCAUCAAAAAAUAAAAAUAAAAAUAAAAAUAAAAACAAAAGAAAGAAGGAAUAGGGGUGUUGUUUAAAUAUUUUUGUUUUUAUAACGGCCCUACUAAGGCUACUUUUGUUGAUUUCUACAUAAAAAUAUCUAAAAUUUAUGUAAAAAAUUAUGAACUACUUUAAUCACACUACCUUAGUUUUUAAAAAAUUUAAUUUUAUUAUUAAAUAUUUUAAUUUGUUUGAUUGAAAUAAUUUAAUAGCUCUUCUGAUAUAAAAUUUAAAAUAACUACUCACUUUAAUUAAUUUAUAAUUAUAUAAAUUAUAUAAAAUGUACUAACUAAAUCAGUAAAAAUAAACUACGCAUUCAAAUUUUAAAGGUAAAAGUAAUUAAUAAGCUCAAGUUAAAGGUCAUUAAUAAGCUCAAAUCAAAUAAAUUAAAGUCUUAGGUUGUAAAAGUAAAAUAUUUACCUUGAUUAAAGGUUACACAACCGGAUCCAAAGAAGUUAGUAUAUAUUCUUACCUUGAUUAUAAUUGUAAAUGAUGUAUAACUAAAAAUACAUGUGGUAGUGGAAAAAUCUGAUAGUUAUAAUUAUAUACCUCUUAUUUAAUUAAAUAUUAAAAAAUAUUGUAAAUAUUAAAAAAAUUUAUUUAGUUGUAUACAAUUAGACCUGGCAAACGGGCGGAUUGGGUAACUUGCAAACGGAUCACUAUACCCACGGGUCAUAUGGGUAUAGAUAAAAUUUACCCAUAAAUUUUUUGGUAGUCAACAUCUCUACCCAUACCCAUUCACAUGAAGACGAGUGGGUAUGUGGGUUACCCGCAAGAAUUUUCUUUUUUUUAGUCCUAUCCUAUCCAAAUGCUUACAUAUAUAAAAUUUUUAAAAGCAAAACUUGUAUGUUAUUUGAAAUAUUAUAAUAUACAAUAAAUAAUAUAAAAUCUUAAAAGACAUACAUUAAUAAUAUAAAAGUAUUUUAGCAUUCCAAACAUUUAUAAUACAAAUUAAAAAAAUUUUCAUCAUUAUUAUAGAGUCAAUAUUAUGAAGAUUAUAUUUUUUAAUUUAAAAAAUAUAUAUGUGAGUACCCAUAUGUACCUAUGCGUUACCCAAAAUACUUACCACUUAACAGAUAUCUAUAUGUUUUAUCCAUAAUUUUUUAGAUAAGAAGUACACAUACCCGCAAAUUUGUGAGUAACCCACGAAUACCUGCGGGUAAGGUAAAGAUUAUCAGGUUUAUAUAUACAAUAGAGAACUAUAUUAACAAAUUUGAUUCUUUUAUAUGUUGAAUGGUGAGAUUACCCUCAAUAUAAGUUAAAAAUUUCAUUAUAUAAAAAAUGAUUAAGUAGGUAGGCUUACAUCUUAUUUAAAAUUAGGAGCUUUUGCUUAUUUAUCCAUUACUAUUAAGCAAAAUUUUCAAACUUUAUCCAGAAAUUAUCAAAAUACCUUUCUAACACCUAAUCCCAUUAGUAAACCCUAAGAGAAAUUGCAAUAUUUGAAGAAAUUUUUAAAAUCAACAAAAAAUAUUUUGGUUUUUGGGAAUAAAUAAGAUAUUUUUGAAGUUUUAAGGUAUUCUCUCCGACUGCUAUAGUUAGAAUUGUUGAUAAUUUGGAUAUAGUUCUAAUUUCUACAGUUUGAAUUCCCUGUGCAGUUUUGAUAGUAGAAAUUGGAUUCAAAUAUAUCAAAUUAGAUACUAUGUUUGGAUUUGUAUGUAAACUACAACCAAACAUUUCCUACAUGUGACCUCGUAAGGGGGGAAAAAUCUCGAAUGUCAGACUUUAAAAUUUAAAAUAUAAAAUUUUCAUCUAUAAUUUAUUAAAUUUAUUUAAAAUAAAUACAUAUUAAUGUCCAUGCCUCUCAAAAUUGGAAAUUUUAUGCCUAUACCUAAACAAAUAAUUUGCACUUGCAUGUACAUCUCUAAAAAUUAAUAUUUGAGUUUAUACCUACAGAAAUAAAUUGUGUAAGCACCAUUUUCAUCUUCGAUGAUUUGCUAUUUCCAACCAAAAUUCAAAAAGAGUAAUAAUUUAAUAUUUUCUUUAUGGGGAUAUCCUUCACUAUGUUAUUUAGGAAAUUUCAAACCAAAUGCAUCCUAGUGAUAUUCUUUCUUUUUUAUGGUAUUCAUACAAAUACUUGGACCAAGCAAAACUCACAAAACAACUGCAAAGGAAAAACUCCAAAAUUGUUCACUAUUGCUAAGAUCAAAAGUUUAAAGCCUUCAUAACGACUCGAACCACUAGUACUAAUAAUUUAUUAGAUCUAAACUAUUGAUCUAAAAUGCUUAAACUUGGUUAUUGUUAUUAGGAUUUAUGUUAUCUUAUAUUCUUAAUCACAACUCCAUUCCAGGGUGUGAAAGACUCUGUUCAUUUAAGCCGUGAUAUCCUCAUCAAUCCAAUCACACACAAAGUCUAAAAUCACCAGGCAAUGUGAGGUCGAUCUCAUAUUUUUGGCUGGUGAAUUAGCUCCGAUACCAAAUGUAAAAAUACGACCGGCUAGUAAUAAUAAUUCGUUGGACCCAAUCUCCGAUUCAAAAUAUUUAAGUCCAGUUGUUAUUAUUAUGAUUCAUAGUCUUUUAUAUAUCUAAUAAUAACUUCUUUCCCAUCUGAUAACAUCCAAUAGUCCCACAUCGAAUGGGAAAGAGAUUGUUAUUGGGUAUAUAAUAAAAGACCAUGACCAUAGUAUAACAACCGAGUUUAAAUAUUUUGAGUUAGUAGUUUAGACUCAACAUGUUAUUAUUGCUAGAAAAUCAAGUCGUUAGUUUUGAUAUUUGAGCCUGUUCACCAACCAGAAAUGUGAGAUGAGCCUUAAAAUAUUAGAGUCGGUUCACCAACCAAAAAUAUAAGGCGGGCCUUAAAUUGCAUGAUGAUCUUGGAACAAGGCGGCCCUUACAUCGCUUAAUAAUUUUAGAUUGUGUGUGUGAUUAGACUGAUAAGGACGUUACGGUCUAAACGGACAAGUUAUUAUUGCUAACAGAUCGGAUCAUUAUAGUUAUAACCUCUGAACUGCUUCAUUAAAAAUCAAAUCAGAUAAUUGACUUAUAUAUAGCACAUUUGGUUAACUGGUUGGGUCAUUAUAGUUAUAACUUUUGAAUUGCUUUAUUAAAAUCAAAUAAUAUAAUCGACAAUAUAAUAAUGCAGUUGGUUAAAAAUUUGAUGAAUGAUAUAUGACUUUGAAGUUCAAGGUUUAGUUUAUUAGUUUAUUUAAUAGAGUGGAUAACUCAGGUUAAAUAAAUAAAUUGUCAGUUUUGAUAACCCUAGUAAAUUUUUUUUUAUCUAGAUUAAUUAGGUCUGAAUAAAGCUUCGACGUUAAAUCUAGAGUUUUGGUGACGAGAAUUAGUGGGAAUACAGAUGUUUUCACUAGGACGGCGUGGACAAUUCCCAUAUAUAGAAUCACUAUCACAAAGUGAAAAUAAAGUGAAAUAACUUUUAUCUAAUUCAACCGACCGUCUCUAGAGUAAGUGGCAAAAGGUUUGAUGGUUGAUAUCCGAGACCCAAGUUCGAAUCCUAGUUGAUUCACAUUUCUAGCUAAGUUUAUUUCUAAAUGAAAUAAAUGAAGCGGGUAACGUGCUAUUUAUCUCUCAAAAAAAAAAAAAAAAUUUUUAUCUAAUUCAAAGCAAGGAUAGUUGAUAUCUUUAUUAAGUGUGGACAAUAUAUUUUUUUCCUGUAUUGUGAAUCAAAUCUCAAGAAAAAGUUAACACGGCAAUUCAAAUCUCGAGAAAAAGUUAACCCAGCAAUUUACGAUCCGCUCUGGUAUUAAGUAUAUCCAAUAAGAUUUAACACAAAGAAUAUCACAAAAAAAAAUAUUUUAAUUAAUUAAAUUAGUGCAAUAUGCAAUGACACAUUAUCACUUGCAAAAUAUUAUUGUACUAUUGUCUUUUCUCAUGGCGCGCAACGCGAACCUUGGUGUUGGACGUCACGCAAGAUUUAGGGAUGCAAAUGGUUCCGGAUCGGUGGAGUUCCCGUCCCGAUCUGUUCCGAAUGAAGCUGUAAGUGGAAACAAAAAAUAUAAAAACAUAUAACCUGCUUCGAAUUAGUCCCAAUCCGCUAAGUAAAUAGAGUGGAAGGCGGGAGGCCCUUUUCUUCCUUCAAUCCGUCCGAAUUCGUUAAAAAUCCGCUAAAGAUUUGCUCCCGUUCUGAUCCGCCUCAAAUAAGAUGGUCAGUGAGAGCCCAAAAAAAAAAUAAUAAUAAUAAUUCGUCCUAAAUCCGUUCCGUCCCGAUAAGAAAUAAAACGGGGGUGGAGAAAUCCUUCCAUCUCUGGAUCCGCACCGUUAGCAUCCCUAGUUAGAUUAGGGCAGCUGAUAAGCAGAGUAGAGCUUUUGGUGGCUGGUGAACUUAAAUAUAAAAAAAAAAAAAAAAAAAAAAAAAACAGAGAGAAAAAAAAAGAGCAGGAAGAGAAACUAAGGUGGUGAAGGGUCAUUGUCCGUGACGUAAAGAAAGUACCUACCUAGUAGCUUUUCUUUCCUUGUUGUGCAACCGACCCUCAGCGUCGUCGUAGAUGUGUCGUGUUCGUAAUGACUUGGGAUCCUUUGCGAGUGGUCUCCACCCCUACGCAUGACUAGAUAAUUGUAUCCAUAUCCAAUAUCCGAUCAUCACUAUAGUCCAACCCUAUGGCUAAAAGAAGCGCUUAUCAUCACUUGAUAUAUAACUGCAGUGUCGUCACGGAACUGAAUGCUGCUCUUCCCGUGAUAAGAAGAAACGUCACUAUACAAGCUGAUCGGAUAAGACUUUUUUUUCUUUUCUUUUUUUUUCUUUCGUUUUUUUAGGUACGUACAUGUUCUUCUUUCAUUUCUUUUAUUAGGUACAAGAUAUGUGCACCUAUAAUGCACGUUACGCACAUGUGACAAUGCACAAUAAAUUAUUAUAAUUUUUUAAAGAAUAUUUGAUAAUUUUAAAUUACCGAAUUAGAGAGUAAUAAACAUAAAUAAAAUUCAAAUAGGAGCUAAUUGCACCGGUCACCAAUUAUUACUGGAUUAUUAGUUAUUAUUUAUUUUUAAUUAAAUUCUUACUUUUAAAGAUGCAGUUAAAUUUGACAUAAUCAGUAACGUCUGUGCCUGCUAAUAUUUGUAAUGUUAGUACUAAUUGUUAUCACUUGCCAAUUAGUAUUAAUAUAAUAUGCUUUACCCAAUUUUAAAAUAUUAAAAUUGAGGAAUAUUAAUUAUAAAACAAAAAAAAUUGCAGUGACAUCUCAAAAUGGUGAUAUAGAAUUUUCUAGACAGGAAAAGGAGGACAAAGGACGAGAGAGAGAGAGAGAGAGAGAGAGAGAGAGAGAGAGAGAGAGAGAGAGAGAGAGAGUUAAAAAGAAAGAACAUGUUAUUAAUUUAUACUACUUAUAAAAGUAUGAGUUUUGAAUUUUUUUCUCUUUCCAAAAAUACUUCUAUCCUUUUACUAAUAUUUUCAUGUCUAAUAAUUUUUAACCAAUCAUUUCAAAUAAUUUAUAAAAUAAUAAUUCAUUCUCAAAUAAAGAUAUUAAUUUUUUACCAUUAGAUCUUAUCUAACGAUUGAAAAUAAAAGUAUCUGUCACUUUUUGUGACAAUAAUACCCUUACAUUUAUAUCAAAUUUUCUAUCUACGCAUUUCUCAAAUAUUUUCCUUCUCACGCAUAAUAUCCGUACCCAUCAAUCCUUUCUCAACGUAAUAUUUGUAAAUUUAUCAAAUAUCUCAUUAAUCAACCUAUCAUAUACAUCAACCACCUACAUAAUAUCCGGUUAACUUUUCUCACACAUAAUAUCCAUGCGUUUUUCAAAUAUCUCAUCAAAAUUUUAAUCCUUUCACUACAAGAAAUGACAGUAUUGGUGGCAAAAAUAAUGUGGCGACAAAUUUUGUCGCCACUAUAUAGUUACUUAUUGUGGCAAUAAAAAAAAUUGCCACUGAUUAGUUAACUAAAAGUGGCAAUACUACUUUCGCCAUUGAAUGACUAUUUUAUAGCCACUAUUUAGUUAUCUACGGUGGCGAUAAAACAAAUGGCCACCGAUUAAUUAACUUAAAGUGGUGACACUACUUUUGCCACUAAAUAAUUAUUUUGUCGCCACUAUGUAAGGACUGAGAUUUUUUUUUACUGUGCUGCUAAACUCUCUGUUGACGAUGUUUAUAUGUGUAAUUUAAUUACAUAAGCACUUAUCAAGUUUCAGGAGAAACUGGGCUAAAACGGAGAAAUUACGCGAUUUUUAGUUUUCACUUAAGUGAAUAGUAACUCCGGUUUUUCAGUGAAGCCACGGAGUAGAGCUGGCUAUCGGCGUGUACCGGAUUCCGUUCAUAGCGAUCCAAUAGCUCGUUUCGACCGGUUCAGCUGUUCUGGAACUAUUAGCGUUGACGGAUUUUGAGUUUGACGCACGGAUUUCGAGAAAAUCCAAAAAUACGUGUUUUAUAUGUAUUUUGUGCGUAGUUUCUUCUGUUGGAGGGAGGAACGGAUUUCGUUGCGAAUCCGUGAUCGUUCGAGGUGAACCAAAAUCGUAGCUUUGUUGUCUCUGAGGUGCUGAUCGUACUGGUGCGAUCCAGUCGCAAAUCUGAUGGACGGAUCUGCGGAGAUCGCGCGUUGAUCGAGGAUAGGUCGGUGUUGGCAAAACGAUAUUUUCGCAAAAGUCGCGACAUUUUAUGUACCGAAUCGCGUGAAACCGGACGUGGAGGGGUAUCCGCGCGAUUUACCCACGCUGUGAGGGACUCGGAUAGAAUUGUUGAGUCUUGGAGGACUAUUUUGCAACUUGGACCUAUGUAAAUAGUAGUUACACUAGGGUUUCAUGAGAAAACCCUAGCUUUUGGCCUUCUCCUUAGCCGAACCUACCCUAGCCGCCCCACCUGCAAUUCUGCCCUCCCCGUGCUCAUGCUCCGGCCGCCGGCGAUCACAUCCGGCAGCCGGAAUUCCCUGCACCACCUCUCUCUCUCUCCCUCUCGGCCAACCACUCCCCCGCAUCGUGGUUACGAACCCAGGAAGUCACCUAGGUCCGAGCACCAUCAUCCCCGGGCAGAGACCAACCUCCGGCACCGUCGCCGGACGAUGCCGCCGUCGGCGCGCGUCGCCGGAACCAGCAGAGCUAGCCGCGGCCAGCCUGGGCCAACCCUGGCCGAGCCGACUGCAGCUCGGUGCCUGCUUGUUGGAGCCGCCCUAGAUCGGCCGCCCCGACUUCCUCCGGCCUCUGGCGACCUCCGGCGCACCUCCCCGUCGCCCCCGCGCACCUCCGGCCGCCGCUCGGGCAGCCUGCUGCUGUCCAGACCGGAUCGGGCCAAGUCUGGGCGCACUCGACCUCCGCGCGUCGCCGCCGCCCACCGACGGACGCGCUGCCACCUCUUGGACCUCCAGCGACCUCCAGUUGCCGCCGGCGACCUCCCGUGUGUGUUUCCCGACGUCCCCGACCAACGCCGGCCGCCGCCCGAAGCUCUCGCAGCCGCCCAGACCCGUGCGGGCCGAGGUCGGGCCCGCUCGGCUUUCAAGCGCCGCCGCCGCCCACCGGGGGGUGCACCACCUCCUCCUCGACCUCCGGCGACGAACCAUCGCCGCCCCGGGCUCCUCCGGCCGCCGCUUCACCGCCAGCGCCCUUGAACCCGAGAGGAACUUGGCGGACUUGAUCUCCGCCGCCGCGCCACCGGCCACCUCCCGCCGCCGGCCAGCUGGUGCCCCGGACCCCUUCGACCUGCCGCACCCUUCCCCGGCCGGACCGCCCGCCGUCCGGCCACCGCCGGCCAUGCCCUAGCUCCUCCAAGCUCCGGUAAGCUUAGUUUAGUUUCAGCACACUGUUUAGGGUUCGGAUCGCGGUUCCAGCGAUCCGAGGGCACUCCGAUGCUACUGGAGGUGAGCAUGAUGAUACUGAGUUAGUGAGGAUCAUCGUGAUCACCUCCGUAGGGGUCAACGAUGCGCCGGUUUGCGUGUUAGACGCGAUUUAGAUACCAUGCGCGCUGUUUCGCUGAAGUUCGCUUCAUGCGUGCGCCCUCCACAGUGGCCGGAAUUGCUCCAAAAGGUGAGCACGGCCUCCGGCACGUCGAGACCUGUCAGUAGGUGUCUCGGUUUGGCUGCAUGACUCCUGGUUUGGGUAGACGGACCAUAAAAGCGCCGAAAUCGCAUGAAAUAAUGCGAUUUCGGGUAAUCGGGAGGGCUUUUAUGCAAUUUGAUUUGUCGUAGCUGCUGUUGGCAGCAUGGGUGAGCUGUGGGUGACCUCUGGACUGAUGGUCCAAGGCCCCGGACCUUUGCGAAGAUCGGAAAUGUAUUUCCGGUGCGUUUGUCGGCAAAAUCCGCCGACGGAACGCGGUUUUGGUUCGGAAUUAUUCCGACGGUGCUUCGUGAGCUAUUGUGUGGUCGCUGAGCCUUAUUGGCUGGUCACUCGCAUCAUUUCGAGAGUUCAGAAAUGACGGGUGAGCGACGGUGGGUUCCGGUGUCGAAAUAGACACUUCCGGGAACCCGGAUCCGAACAAUUAUCCACCAAUAGUUGUUUGGUUGUGUAUCCUUGUGUUUGCUGCCUUGUCACACUAAAAUAAGUGUUUAGUGGCAGCGAAUGACUCGUGGCAUGAGUCGGUGCCUUCCGGGAUAGUUAGUGGGUCCCGGCGGAGUCCCGGUGCGAUUCUCGGGACUUCCGGCGAGUUACGGUAAUCGGUAUUGGGAAACCGAUCUACGUGGGAUUGUUUGUGGGUUAUGCUUUUAGGGUUUCUUAGCUGUGGGUUAGACACUAACCCAGUGGACCCUCCUUAGGUCCGGUUGACGUUCUUUUGCAGUCAGGAGACAGGCGCGACAGUUGUACAGGUGGGUACUUCGAUCCGACGUCGGUACAGUGGUGCACGUUCGGUGAUGGUUUCUUACCCUUGCUCCUUUGUUAUUAUCCAUGCAUACGUUAUAUAUUGAGCUUUGCACCUCUGUUGUUUACAUUACACCCACGUUGUUUGAUUAUACUCUACUCGUUGUUUGCAUGUUUAGUACCCUGAGUAGGAGUAGAGUAGUUCUAUCUGCAUCCGUAUCGGUUGACCUAGUUGGUCUGUUGAGCAUCCGUAUCUGUUGACCUAGUUGGUCUGUUCUGCAUUCCUCUACGCAGUUAGUUCCAUAUUGAUAUCAUGCUUAGGAGUAGAGUUGACUUAUCGGUUCACUAUAUCUGUGAUUUGAUUGGGCGGUUCCCCUAUUUUGAUAUCUAUGACCUAUUCGGUCGAGUUGCUACAGUUCUAUCUUGACACACGUAGCCGAUUAGUUGCUGAUGGCCCAUACGGUCGGUGUGCCCUGAGGGGCUGGAUUGUCGGCUAGUUGCCGAUGGAUGACCUUUGAGCAUACUACAUUGAUCACCACUGCAGGUACGCAUUUCACGAACACCAGCGGUCUGAUCCACCGCAAGAGGGUGUUCUUUUCCGGAAAAGUGGUUGGAUUGCCAACCCGUGAGCCCAGGGGCUUUAUUGCGAGGGUAUAUGCUUCUGACCCAGGGGCUUCAUUGCGAGGGUCAGGUACUGUGCUUCUGACCCAGGGGCUUCAUUGCGAGGGUCAGGUACAGGUUGAGCAGCGUGGCAUGGGCCUGAGGUCUUCGGACCAAUAGGGCAGCGAGAUUGGGUACUUUUGAGCUUAUCGUCAGUUGACGCAUGCAUACAGUAGCUGUAGUGUUUAUUCUCAGUACAUCCUUAUCUGUGUAUUGUAGCUACUGUUUUAUUUACCUGCAUCUAUACUUGUCAGCUCCUUACUUAUCAGCAUCUUUACUUACCUGCACUUAUGUCUAUCUAGUUCUCCGUGUUGUUGUAUAGCUCUCUUCCUGAUCCGGUGAGUACUCCUCGCCUUCUUCGGCUUGCGGUACCCACUGGGAGGGGAGACAUGUUUACAUGUUCUCACCUCCCCCACCAUUUUUCAGGUAUCGCGGGCGAUGAGUAGUGGGACGAGACGUGAGGUACGUGUGUAGCGGUCGAUAGAGCUUCCGACCCAGGUUAUUUCGAUUUAGUUAUUAUCCUUGGUAUUUCUGUUGAUAUAUAGUUUAGUUAGUUUAUGUGGUUCAGUAUUUAUUUACAUUUGAAAAUGUGGAUUUCUGGAUUUUGUAAAAUAAAAGGUUUUCUACCCCUCGUGGUAGCGUUUUUAAAAGAAUAAAGGUUUCUGUGUAAGAAACAGUUUUCAAAAGAUUUUUGCGGAUUUCUGUUUAAACCUUGAAUGUAAAACUGUGAUGUGAAUGGUGAAUGUAUAAAUGUAUAGUUAUUUUUUAUAUUCAUCUGGUUGUGGUUGUAUCCUGGUUGUACUGUGUAUUGGAUCGACGCCGUGCAAAUACAGGGGAGACUCUGUCCGUGUGAUCAGUGGAUUCCCUGUAUUUGUGGCGGAUCUGGCAUACUCUGGGGUCAGGUUUUCAAAAAAAAAAAAAAAUUUCAGACGCUUUUCCGUUUUAUUUUAAACUGAAAAGGGACCCCGGGGCGUGACACACUAAAUCGUUAUUUAUGAUGGCGAUAAAAAAUAUUGCCACUGAUUAAUUAACUUAAAGUGGCAAUAUUACUUUCGCCACUAAAUGAUUAUUUUAUCUUCAUUAUUUGGUUACCUAUAGUGGCGAUAAAAAAUUUUUGCCACCAAUUAAUUAACUUUAAGUGACGAUAAAAAAAUUUUGCCACCAAUUAAUUAACUUUAAGUGGCAAUACUACUUUCGCCACUACAUGACUAAUUUUUUGCCACUAUUUGGUUAGCUAUAGUGAUAAUAAAAAAAAUUGAUGCAUAUUAUUAAUAAAAUUACAAUAAAAAUAAAAUAUUUAAAACGUUUAUAUCAAAAUAAUGUAUAGUGAAGGUGAAAAAACUGUAGUUGUUAAAAAUUGACGGUGAAAAUGUACAGAGACACCUUCAACAUCAGAUCAUUUUGAAAUUGCUCUAUGAAUUUUAAUUUUAUUUUGAUUAACAUCUCUGAACUUUUUUUGAUUAUUUUAUUCUAGUUAAUUUAGUUAAAAUUUUAAAUUCAAGAGCUUUAUUAAUUAGUGUUUACCUAUUAAUUAUUUUCAUUUAUUUUUUAAAAAUUAAUUAAAUUUAACUUAAAUAAAUAAAUAAAUUACAAUUUAUUAAUUAAAUUAAUUUUUAAUUUUUAAUUUUUAAAAAUUAACUUAUUAAAUUUAAAAAUUAAAUUAAAUUAUUAGUUAAUUAAAUUAAAUUAAAUUUUUUAAAAUUUAAUUAAAAUGACUAAAUUUUAAUCAAAUUUAAUCUCCAAACAAAAAUUAUAUGGUGAAUGAGGCCAAACAAAUUCUUCAAACCCGAAACCCGAAACCCGAUACCCGAAAUCCGAAACCCGAUGCCUUUCACGCUCGUCGACCUCCUCUUCCUCGUUUUCGUCUUCCUCUUCCUGUUCUUCUUCACCCCCCCAACUCUUUUCCUCUUUUCCCCUUCUCCACCCAAAAACCCUAGCAUCCUCCUCUUCCUCCUCCUCUCUCUCGUCCUCUCCACCCCCUCCUCGUCCAUGGCGCAGAGCAACAACAGUGCCAUCCCCAUCACCGAGCAGUUCUAGUCCCUCGUCGAUAAGGCCGAUCGCCGCUUCUCCUGCGUCCGCGAUCGCCCCUCCCACAACCGCAAUUGGUAAACCCUAACCCCCUACCUCCCCCAAACCUCUCACUCCGAACCCUAAUUCGAUCCCUCUUCGUCUUCUUCUUCUUGUUUUUCGAUCCAGGGACGACGGGACUUCCACAAGGCGUUCAAGCUCUACACGCGGCUGUGGAAGGCGCGGCGCUCACCGAGGCCGGGAUGCGGCGGUGGGAGGUGGGCGAGAUCGCGUACCGCAUCGCCCAGCUCUACUACGGCUAGUACCGCCGCACCAGCGACUCCUCCUACCUCGCCGAGGCCUUCGUCUUCUACGAGGCCGUCCUCGACCGCGAGUACCUCCGCGACGCCCCCUCCGCCGCCGCCUCCGAGGUCGCCCUCGCGCACAAGCAGCUUCGUCUCCUCGUAAGGUUCCUCAAUGUUUCGCUCGUCCUCGGGUGCCGCGAGAUGGUCUUGCGGCUCGCAUCGCUCCUCCGGAUCAUUCUCGAGGAGCACAGGCGGAGUUUUCAGGUAUACAACUGUUUGUCUCUUUGUACAUUGUUGUUCAUUUAUAUAUCUGCUCUUCAUAAUUCAGCUUGAGUUGUUUGAUAUAAUUAUAGUUUCAUAGUAUUAGUACUUCUUUGUUCUCACAUGCUGCACCAAAGUAUUGCGGAAUCUUAUGGCAACUCUUUUAUAUAUAUAUAUAUAUAUAUAUAUAAUUGAGUUACUGGUUUGAUUUGUAUUCAUGUUCCUUCUCAUAUCCAAGUUGUAGCUGCAUUCGUUUAGUGUUUGAUUCAUAUCAUAUUCAGACCCUAACCAUUUAAUAUGCGUUUUGUUGCACAUUCCUAUCUGUAUCUAUAUUUAGAUUGAUGGUAUUGAAUUGUGGUGUCCGUUUAAUAUAUCUAUGCCUUGUAGAACUGUGUUGAGCAUUAUUUGAUCAUGUUUAACGGUGCCGAUCUUCGAUUUGGAGGCUCCAUCAUCGAAAACAAAUGGGUGGCAACGGAGCCCGUUUGCUACCGAUAGUAUUCUAGCUCAACUCUCUAUCUCUCUCUCUAACUGUUCUUGCACAAAAUAUGUGAUUGAUAGAGGUUAAGUGCUAAAGAUCUAACCAUUGAGGGGCUUAAAUUUACGUUCUUUUUUUUCAAAGGGUCAGAGUACAAAUAACAAUAUUUUCAUAGGUUUUUUUUCCGUAUUUUAGUCCAUACAUAAUUUGUUAGUGGUCUUCUUUCUUUAGUGGUGGGUUCUAAAUUUGACGAUAUUUCCAGGUUCAACGUAUAUUAUUCCUUGCGAUUUGGUACCAUUUACAAGAAGACCUCUGUUUCUGGUGAUUGACAGUAAAUGCAGCCACGCAUUCAAGGCAGGUUUUCUAAUUCUUUUGGUCCUAAUCAUAAUUUUUGGAGCAUCAAAUUAGUCGCUCAUUUCCUUCGAUAUUGUUUCAGACAUGUAUAUCUACUUUAAGUUGUUUUUAAACAGUUUAACUGACCAUGCUCUAUGUGAAUUUCAUCAUGUAUUUGGCAUUUCACAUAGUUCUUUGAGAGAUCUUCUUUGUACUCCGCUUUUCGAUUUUAAUAAAGUAUUUGCUCCGUCUUCGCCUGUGGACGUAGGCCGUUGGCCGAACCACGUAAAUAUCGAUGUAUUCUUUCCUUAUCUUUUUUUUUCUUACAUUAAAUUAUUUUCUUGAUCUAUUUUUUCGCCGUUCCGAUUUUAACAAUAAAUGGGUCAGAGAAGGGAGAGACGGCAGCUAUGCUUCUUUCCCCAAUCUCUCAACCUCCGACAGCUGCGGCUGGCGAUGAUUCUUCUCGCUCCCAAAAUGGUAGCCAAUUCACAAUGUUCCUCACAGCACCGUUGCAAGCUUUCUGCUUCUUGAUUGGAAUUUCGGGCACGAAUAUCAACAAGGUAUUUGUGCGUCCGUACCUUGUUUUCUUCUGUUUAAUUUCUUUUAUCAUUAUCUUCUUCCAGAAGUGUAUCUGUAAUUUCUGGUGGCAAAUGUUGCAGGAGAAAUAUGUUGCGGCUGAAAAGCUACUCUCAUUAUCCUUGAAGGAAUGGGAAACGACUUUGGUGGCGUCCGACGCUCUCCAUCCGGUCUGGAUUCAAGCAUUGGGUGAUCCCUUUUUAAGGCGAUUCAUCCUCAGGUUAUAUCUGAACCUAUUUAAUGGAAAAGGUGAAAAUGUAUGAUUUGUUGCUUUUAUUAAUCAUUUUAUUUAUCUAAUUUAUUAUGUUAUUUUUUGACUAAUCAUAUACUUUUUGAUAAAGGGACCCCGUGACUCAAGUGGAGCCAAAAAUGACAGACUAUUGGAAAGCAACGCAUUUACGACAUAAUGGAGAUUGGAUGGAUGGUCGAUCAAAGGAUGUUAUGGUGAUUAUACUAAUGUUAUUACUUGCUUACCUAGCUUAUAUUUAUCUUGAUACUAAAUACAUUAUUCCUGGACUACAGAAUGUGCAUUCUGCAUCAUCAACAUCAGAUGGCUAUCCUAUCAGUAUAAAUACUAGUAUCCACGGUCGUUUAGUUAAAUCGUCGUCAAGUACAAUAAUAGUACGGGUUUAAGUUGUAUUUGUUCAUAAUACGGUUAAGCUAGUAAUAAUCUAUUACACACGAACAGAGAGACGUAAAUUUAUGUAUACGUAUGUUUGUAUUUAUUUAUGCCGGUAAUGUGUAUUGGUGGUUAAAUGUGUGUACGUAACUACGUUUUUACGCGUACCUAAUUUCCGUACGUGUCUUUGUUCGUACGAAGAUGCUUAUACAAGGGCACCUCUUGAUCUAGCAUAUAAUCUUGUAUAUAAUAUAGACAGUACACUGUAAGUACGUAAUUCUUUUUUAAAUGUUUCGUAUGUUUCUCUUAGGUGUUAUUUUAACCGUACCGUCUUGUUAAGAGGUUCGAUCAUUCUGUUUGUGCCAAUUCCGUAUGUACUCAUCCUUUAAGGGCUGGUUUUUCAUACACAUGUUAUGUCUUACUCAUCAUGUAAGUUUUGACCUUUCAUAUUUUUAUUAUAACUUUUAGUAGUUUUUAUUUCUUCCAGUUUUAACGUAAAAAGUUACAGGGUAAUCUUAACAUCGUUGUUAGUAUGGAAUUUGGGAUAUAGAUGAGUAGAGUAACAUACACAGUUUCUUUGUUUAUUUUACGUUUGGAACGUUACUGAAAAUUUGAAGAACCGUUCCAACAGAUCCUCGAUCAACUCCGGGAGAGGGGAGAAACACUUGGAUGUUAGUUAAUUUUAUCUCUAAAUCUAUCAGCUAUUUAUUUUGAAUUUAAGUUAACUGAUUAUAUUCGUUAUCACNACAUAGUUUUGACAAUUGUCUAUUUUGUUAAUAAUUCAUUAAAUCAAAAAUUCAAAAAGACAAAUUGUUUGUGUAUCCAACUAUGCAAAAAAUAUUCUAACUUGUUGUAGAUUGUUUAAUGUAUAUACUUUUCUUUUAUUUCUUUUAUUUGUUGCAGGAAAUGAAUUGCUGUUGAAAUAGGAGCUGAAGCAUUUUUUUUUUAUCGUUUUUAAAUAUUUUCUAUUUUUAAAGUUGAGAGAGUUAGGAAUGAUGUUGAAUUGUAUAUCGAAUAUUAUUACUCUAUUACCUUUAAAUUGACUUUGCUAUUAUUUUGUUUUUAAGCUGUUGUGAAUUAGAAGUCAAUUAGCCUUUUAAAUUGUUGUUAAAAUAAUAACUUUGUUUACUUUAAUAUUUUGUUUGUUAUUUUGUAUAUGUUCUGUUUAUAAAAUAUGAGCUGUAUAUUUUUAUAUUUAGUUUAUUACCUUUUUAUUAUUGGUGGUCAUUUAUUGCACAGUUGGUGGCGACAAAAAGUUGCAUUUUUAUUUUUAAUUAAGGUGGCGACUGUGAUGGUUGCCACUUAAGGUAAUAUUUGGUGGCGAAAAUGUAUUGCCAUCUUAUCUCCAUAAAAAAAUGACGACUAAGAAGGGCCACUAAAAAGUCAUAUUUGAUGGCGACAAUAUGUCGCCACUCUAUCUUUAAUAAGGUGGCGACUAAUAAUUGCCACUAAAAGUCAUAUUUGGUGGCGAUAAAAUGUCGCCACACAAUCUUUAAUAAGGUGGCGGCUAGCAAUAGCCACUAAAAGUCAUAUUUCGUGGCGAUAAAAUGUCGCCACGCUAUUUUUAAAAAGGUGGCGAUUUUUCAUGCUUCGCCAUAAUUUCAUUUAGCGGCAACACUUUCGGUGGCAGCUUAUGGCGACUUUAAAAGUCGCCACCUUUUAAAAAGGUGGCAACUUUUUAUAUAUAUGGUGGCGACAUUACUCGCCAUCAAUAUAUAAUAUUCUUGUAGUGUUUCUCUUCGUUUCUCAAAAAAAUUUUCAACCUAUCAUAAUUUUGAAUUAAAUAUAUCAUCGCAUUUGAAUUUAAAUAUUAAAAUGGAUCAAAAUAAAAUUUUAAAUUUUAAAUUUAAUAUGAAUUUUAUUACGAAAAUAUCUCUAUCUUUUUAACUAAUUUUUUCAUGUCCAGAAAUUUUGAGUUCGUCAGAAACAUAUAAUAUCUCUAUUAUCUUCGCAUUUGAACUUAAAUCUUAAAGUAGAUCAAAAUUAAAUUUUGAAUUUUGAUUUAAACAUGAAUUUCUUUCCGAAAAUGUCUCUAUCUUUUUUACUAAUUUUUUCAUCGUAAAAAAUUUUGAACCAUUUAUUUUAAAUAAUUCAUUAAAUUUUGGAAAGUGGAUCGAAAUUAAAUUUUAACUUUUAAAAUUAAACAUAAUUAAAAUUUUAAUUAUCUAGAAAAUACCUUAAUACUUAUCCAUCCCCAAUUUUAUCUUAUCAUAAUACUUAUCCAUACAUAAAGUAUAUCUUAUUUUAAUAUUUUCUCAUCUCCAUCUAUACGUUUCUUAAAUAUAAUAAUAAAGUAUAUCCUUUUUCAUUUUCACUAUACGUUUUCUCAAAUAUAUUAUUUUAGUAAUAUUUUAUUCGUUCCUCAUCGUUGUUCUCGGUCACCUUCGCGACAGUUGGAAAGGUAUUUUGCUCCACCUAAUUCAUUUUAAGAGUUGAGCUAUGAUACUUUUACAAGUAUCACCAUCAUGAUGCUAUUAGGUUUUAAGCCAUUGGAUUUACUUUUUGAUUAUUAAUAGCCCUUGGAUUAAACACUGUUCCACCUACCACCAUCUACCACCAUCUACCACUAUCAUCUCAACCUCACAUCUCUCCAUCCAAGGGCUAAAAACACACAAGUAUCACCCCCAUGAUACUUUUACAAGUAUUCUAGCCCUACUCUUCAUUUUAAUGUGUCAUAAUAUAAUUUCCUACUCAAUACGUCUUUCGUAUACUUUGUUUUACUUUUUAAGAUUUUUAAAUGCUAAUAAAUGUGCAUCUUCAUGACCUUUUAUCUCUCACAUUAAUUGCGCAAAUCAUCAGUAUAUUUUUUUUAGUAAUAUCUUUUUUUCAUUUUCACCUGUAUUUUUUUCAAAUAUUGUCAAAUAUUUUUUUUACUAAUAUUCUUUCUCAUUUGUCCCCGUCGCUGGCACCAGUAUAUCGUCAUCGCCGACACCGAUAUGUUGUCGCCUUCGUCACUUUUGUCACAUUUGGAGAGCUAUUUUGAUCUAAACUGAUUUUUUUUUUUAAUAUGCUUUUAUACUAUUUUAGUAUAUCUAUUUUUUAGUAUUUUCUCAUUUACAUUUAUACAUUGGCACCGGUAAAUCGUUAUCGUCAUCGCCGAAAACGGCAUAUUGUCGCCUUCACCAUCUUUGCCACAUUUGGAGAGGUAUUUUGAUCUAAACUGAUUUUUUUUUUAAUAUGCUUUUAUACUGUUUUAGUAUAUCUUUUUUUUAGUAUUUUCUCAUUUACAUUUAUACAUUUAUCAAAUAUAAAAUAUAUAUUUUGGUGGUAAUAUCUUUUUUUCAUUUUUAUCUAUAUUUUUCUUAAAUAUUCCAAAUAUUUUUUAGUAAUAUCUUUUUUCAUUUGUUCCCAUCGCCGACACCAGCGCAUCGUUAUCGUUCUCAUCAUCGACAUCACCAGCGCCGGCACAUUGUCACCUCGGCCAUCUUUACCACAAUUAGAAAGGUAGAUCCCACUUAAUUUUUUUUUUAAUAUGUCUUUAUACUGUUUUACGUUUUAAGUUUUUUUCAUGACUUUUAUCUCUUCUAUUGAGAUUGUGGCUUAAGAGAUUGUAGCUAAACUUAAGUAUAAGCAGAAAAAUUAUUAUUUGGGUACCUUAAAUUAUUUUUUUUAAUAUGUCUUUAUACUGUUUUACGUUUUAAGUUUUUUCAUGACUUUUAUCUCUUCUAUUGAGAUUGUGGCUUAAAAAAUUAUGGUUAAACUUAAGUAUAACCAGAAAAAUUGUUAUUUGAAAUUUGGAUUGCUUAGAUUAAAUAUGGGUAAAACUGUUUAAUUUCGGCCUAUAGCGUAUUUAGAUUUAUACUUACGAUUGUGAUAAUUUACUGGGCUAAAUAAACGAAUCCACAAAAAAAAGAAAAUAUGUAGAUAUAUUUAAUUGAUUUGGGCUUGAACUUGCUUAGCUUGUAAUUUGGAUUUGAAAUUGUUUAAAUCUGAUUUGGGUUUGAACUUGCCUGGUUGUACUAAAUUUAUCUAUACUACUUAUAAAAAAGUGAGUUUUUAAUAUUUUUUUUCUUUUCAAAAAUGCUAAUCCCUAUUAAUAUAAUUCUAAUCACAUACUAACAAUAUCAAUAAUUCAACUUUUAUUAGUAUAAAUCAUAGCCGUAUAAUUUAUAUUUUAUUUUCUAAUUAUCAUAAAAUGUAUUAAUUUUUGUGAUCUAAUACAAUGGCCGACCAAUUAAGUAUCUAUCAUUUUUUUUUUAUAUAAAUUGUCCUCAAGCAGUACUUAUUAAAUCCGACCUUUUAUAUAUCUAUCUUAUCUCCUAACAUAACAUCCAUAUUCCAUCUUAUCUAAUAAUAAUUCUCUUUACAAUUCAUACUUAUCUAUACUAUAUAUAAAAGCAUAUAAAAAUUAUAAUAAUGACAUACAAAAUUAAAAAAGAAAUAUAAAAAAUUUCAUGCCAAUGUUUAUGAUUAAUUUGUUAAAAAAAUAUUUCAAAUAAAAACGAAUGGUUAUGAUCAAUCUAUUAAAAAAUGGCAUUCUUAUUUAUCAAUAUAUCAAAAUUUACGAAUGGUUAUGAUUAAUUUGUUAAAAAAUAUUUUAAAUAAAAAUAAAUGGUUAUGAUCAAUUUAUUAAAAAAAAUAGCAUGCCUAUCCAUAGAUUUUACAUUAAAAUUAAAAUUUGAAUUUUAAUCAUAAAUCAUAAAUUGAAUUUAAUAUUGGAUAUCAAAUUUGAACUAAUCAUUAAAAAAUUUUAAUUAUAAUGGAUCAAAAUUAAAUUUAACAAAUUUAUAUUUAUAAAUUUGGAUAUCAAAUUUGAGUUAACAAUUAAAUAUUUAAUUCUAGUGAAUCAAAAUUAAAUUUCAAAUUUCAAAAUAAAUGUGAAUUAAAUUUUGAUGCUUUUAGUUUAAACAAUAUAUUUAAAUUUUAAAUUUAUUAGAAUUUAAAAAAAUAUAAAAAUAAUAUAGAAUAUUGCAGAUAUUUUCUAAUAUAAUAUAACAUAUAAAUUUAUCAAAUAUAAUUUUUAUUGUAUAUUUUAAAUUUUCAUAGUAUCCACUAUCUCUCAAUUAAUUAACUAAAAAUAAAUUAUAUUUGAAAAAUAGAGUGAUUAAAAAAUAAGCUUAUCAAAUCGAUUUUAAAUUUUAUGUUUGCUUCAUAAUUUCAAACGUGAAUCCAUAAUUUAAUUUAAAAUUAAUUUAAAAUUUUAAUAUUUGGCUAUAUAAAUAGGCUGUUUCAAAAUGCAAAUAAUUAAUUAUAAAUUUAUAUCUCCAAUAACUAUUUAUAUUCAAAUUAUGGAUUUAAAAUUAAUUUUAAAUUUUAAAUUUUGUUCAAAAAUUUAAAUGUGAAUUCAUUAACUUAAAAAUUAGAAUUAAUUCAAAUUUUAAAAUUUGUAUACACGUCAAAAAUAAUUGUAUAUUAUAAAAUAAAUAUGCAAAGUAUUUAUAGUGUAACUAAAUUAAAAACAUAUAAAACUUAUCCGAAGAUAAAUUAAAGUUAAAAAAAAUUUGAUAAAUAGACUCAUACCACCAAUAACUAUUUAAAUUUAAAAUAUAAAUAUAAAUUUUAUUUGAUUUAAUGUGACGUGCAUUGCACGUGCACUAUGACUAGUAUACCCAAAAAGAGAGGUUCGUGCCAGAAUUUCGUAAAUCUAAAAUAAUUUUAGUACUUGAAAAAAAAAGAAAAUUGACAAGGCAAGGGCUCAAUAUGAACGCUUGGAUAAGGGGUAUAAGAUUUACAUUUAUUUGGGUGCUGUUAGUAUUACUCUAAAAAAAAUAACUAAAAUAUAGAGACACAACUAUAGGCCACUUUGAAAAAGACCUUUCAGGUUGUAUUUAUUUAUUCUUUAAUUUAUACCCUUUUUGUUAAGGAUUUUUUAAGUUAGCGGAUUUCGUGAAGUCGAAUGGAGUCUUGAAGAGAUGAAGAUGAAGGUUGAAGAGAUGAUUUAAGCAAUUCAAGAUCAAAAGACCCAUUCAUGAUGCUCGGAAUCUCAGGUAUGAAUAUUAAUAUGUUGUAGUAAGAUUCCUGGUUCAUAAAUAUGUUUGGAAGACUUAGGAUGAUUUGAAAAUAUAAAUCUGGACAAAACUGAGUUUUUCAAGGCUCGGGGACCGGUCCCUGAAUUGAAGGACCAGACCCCGUAGGUCCUCUCUGCGUGAAGACAGAGAGGGACUAAUCCUUGAAGCAGAGGGGUCCGAUCCCCGUAAGUUGAAUUUUUGAUACGCUAAGAAGGACCGGUCCUCUGGAAUCAAGGACCGAUUUUCGUAACCUGGUUUUCUUGAUACGCAGAGAAGGACCGGUCUUCUGGAGCGAGGGACCGGUCCCCGUAACUUGGUUUUCCUGAUGCGCAGAGAGGGACCGGUCCCCUGGAACGAGGGACCGGAACCCGUAGUGUAAGGUACUGAACUUCUAAAAUUAUGAAGUUGCGGGGUAUGUUGGUUUGGAAAGCUAUUAGAAUGAUUCCGGUGAAGUUCGGAAGCAUUCGGGCGUUUUCGGAGCGCGUAGGCGCAAAAACGGGACCCGAAAGGCUAUGUUGGACUAUGGACUAAAUCCGGCAUUAGCGCAGAUGAAAAGAUGAUGAAAAUACGCUCAAAAACAUGUUUGAAGAGUCUCGGUUCGAUUUGAAAGCAAUCGGAGGCCAAACAAGCGAAAACGAACGAAAACGGAAAAGAAACGAAAAUGGCUGAAAUUUGGCUAAGUCUGGAAAUCUGGACCUACGGGGAUGGGUCCCUCGGCCUCCCUCGGCCAAGGACAGGUCCCUCAGGAACCGGUCCCUCAAGCAAGGACCGGUCCUCGUAGCUCGAAAAUGCCCUGCGUGGGCAGUGCAUAAAACACAAAGUUGAGAGGCUGUUUUGCAGUUGUUGCAUGAGUUGGUGUCACGCCUCGAGCCCGAUCUUUUUGGCCGGUUCGAGAGCGUCGAACAGACGCCGAACGGACAGAGCCUCCCCUGACCGCCCAAGGCUCAACAACAAGUAUUAAUAGAGUAUAAAGUUUGCAUAAGCGGAAGCAUACACAAUGGCUUGCACGAGGGCAAGCAAUAGCCAUUAGUGAAAGAAUCUACUAAAUCAUCACACAAGUAUUUGACUAGAUUUAAAUCACAUACAUGCAUUCGACUUUAAUACAACUUUGCAUCAUUUCUUUUAUACAUCACAAAUUCUCCAAAAUAUGAUCCUUUUUCUAUUUACAUAAAUAAAGUCUUCUACAUCAUUCCUUUAACAUGAUCACAAUACUAACAUCAUCAAGUACAAAAGAUGAUAAUAAGGGGUAUGCAACUAUGAAAAUAAAACAUCUCGGGCCGUCUCUACCUAGAGCGCGAUGCCUUUACCGCGAUCGCCUGCCGGCUCGCUCGGUCCCGGCUCUGUAGAAAUAGGGGUGUGAGAACUACAACAAAGUUCCUAGUGGGUUCGGCAACCAACCACGCCGACUAUCCCACUAGGUCUAAUCAGGCAUAAUAGAAUAGAAGAAAGAAAGUAACCAACUAACAAUGCAACUAAUAUGCCUGAACAAUAUAUAAUGCGAUGCUCGAAAUAAUACUCAUGAUGAAUGCAAGAUCAUAAUUUCUUUACCCAAUCUCUUGGCUAACCCGUAGGUUUCGUCCUCAACAAACUCACCACCCAAAAUCCUAUUAACCGGAGAGAUACCCGCUACAACCCGAUAGGACCGUCCUCUGGGGAGAUACCCGCUACAACCCAGUGAUGUCGACUCCGGAGCACAUCGCCCGAGGGGGAGCUACCACCCUCGAGCAAGGACUAAAGGUGAGUACGAUCAAUCCUACAUUGAGGAUUCCAAGUUCAAUCCAUUCCUUAACUUUAAAGAAGACCAUGCUCAAUGACCCUUAACUCUAAGAUUGCAAUGUCAUAAUAUCUCAAUCAUUCUUUUCUUUGCAUUCUUUACCAACACUAGUGUCAUAUACACUACCAAGUUCUUGUACUCAUGCCACACUUGUUUUCUAAGUGCUAUAUUCUUGUUCUCAUGCCAAAUGCCACACUUAUUUUUCUAAGUAUUCUAGACUCAUCAAUGUCACUCGCUAGAUCUAUGUCCAUGUGUCACUUUUGUUCACUAACCCUUCUAGGUUCUUGUCACUUGUCAUCCAUAAAUAGGGUUAUAAUUCUCACAUUCUUACAAGUAUUUCAUACGAAAUUAAACUCACGAUCAUGCAUAAAUAGGGAGAGGUGUGUGUGUGUGAAUGGCUGUAGAGGGAGAGGGGGUUGGGUAUAUAAGGUGUUGUAACAUUUACAACAAGACCCCUCCACUUUAUUCCCUGUGCACUGCCCAAACUGGGCAUUUUUCGCAGUGAGGGACCGGUCUCCCCGACCUGGGACCGGUCCCCGAGAGCUCCGCCCGCGAACUGCGCAGGCUGCGCGCGAUGCAACCGGUCUCCCUCGAUGGGACCGGUCUCUGGGGGACCGGUCUCUGCUCGCAAGGACCGGUUCCCAAGAGCUGAUUUUCCAGGACUUAGCCAAUUUCUCAGCCACCUCGCUGCCUACGCGUUCGGGGACCAGUCUCUCCCACCAGGGACCGGUCCCCGAGAGCACAAAACCCGCAGUGUGCAGAUUUUGAUUUCUAAAGCUCUCGAAGAUCCCCAGUAAUGUAUUUUAGCAUUAUUUGACGCCUUCGGCCUCUCCGAAGUGUACCAACCUCGCACUUUGGUCAAUUUGACCAAGGUUUGAAUUUAAUCACCGAGGUUUCGGUAUGUUACAUUCUCCACCCCUUAAAUUUAGUUUCAUCCGCGAAACUUACUUAAUUUAGACUUAAACUCAUACCUCAAUUCAGCUCGUUAAAGAGCUGAGGAUAAUGCUCCCGCAUUGCGCUCUCAAGCUCCCAAGUGGCUUCCCGAUCAUCGUGAUUGCACCAACGAAUCUUAACAUACGGAAUCUCGCGAUUUCGUAGUUUUUUUACUUCUCGAUCGAUGAUGUAUGCCGGGAACUCCUCAUAGGUCAUGUCCUCUUGGAUCUCAGACGAUUCAAACGACAAGAUAUGCUCGGGGUCGUGAACGUACUUGCGGAGAUUCGAUACAUGAAACACGUCGUGUACUCCCGCAAGCCUCGGUGGUAAUGCUAUCUUGUACGCCACCGCACCUACCCGCUCCAAUACUUCGAACGGUCCAAGGUAUCGAGGACUUAGCUUUCCACGGAGCCCAAACCAUCUAAUUCCUCGCAUCGGCGAUACUUUUAGAAAGACGUGGUCGCCAACUGCAAACUCUAUGUCUUUUCUCUGCUUGUCGGCAUAGCUCUUUUGCCGGGAUUGCGCCGUAGCCAGCCGCUGGCGGGCGAGGCGAACCUUCUCCUCCGCUUCCCGCACUACAUCGGGGCCGAGAGCUGCUCUCUCACCCACAUUGCUCCAAUGGAUUGGAGAGCAACAUUUCUUUCCAUAAAGGGCCUCGAAUGGCGCCAUCGCGAUACUCUCUUGAUAGCUGUUAUUGUACGCGAACUCCGCCAUUGGUAGAUGAUCGUGCCAACUGCCCUUGUAGUCCAAUACACACGCUCGGAGCAUAUUCUCAAGUAUUUGUAUCGUCCUUUCCGAUUAACCAUCACUUUGAGGAUGAAAUGCUAUGCUAAAGUCGAGCCGUGUGCCCAAGGCCUCCUGUAGGCUUCUCCAAAAAUGAGAUGUGAACCUCGGGUCCCGAUCUGAUACGAUAGACACCAGUACCCCGUGAAGUCUCAUAACCUUGUCGAUGUAUAGUUGAGCCAACUUGUCCCCCGACCAAGUAAUAUGAAUCGGUAGGAAAUGCGCCGACUUCGUCAACCGGUCUACUAUCACCCAAAUUACGUCGUGUCCACCUUGAGAUCGAGGCAAUCCGGUCACGAAGUCCAUUGCGAUAUUUUUCCAUUUCCAAACGGGUAUAGGUAAACUUUGCAACUUCCCCGUCGAAAAACGCCGCUCCGCUUUUACUUGUUGGCAAGUAAGACAUUGCGCAACAAACUCCCCAAUGUCUUUCUUCAUGCCCGGUCACUAAUAAUGCAGUUUCAAAUCUUGGUACAUUUUGGUGCCGCCCGGGUGUAUACUAUAAGGCGAUUGAUGCGCUUCUUGCAUAAUCGCCCUGCGGGUGUCCUUGUUCUUAGGCACGCACCAACGGUUUCUAAACCGGAGUGCACCGUCGGUCCCAAUGCCAAAAUCAUCGGCACUACCGCUCUCAACUUCACCAUGCACCUUUUGGAGAUAAUCAUCGGAAGCUUGCAGCUCUUUUAUCCUCUCCAGCAAGGUCGGUUGCACCACUAACGCGGUAAGUGUAUCUGGCACUCCCGGCUCCACUACUUCCAAUCCAAGCCAUUGCAUCUCCUUUUGUAACAACGGUUAGGGUGUAAUUGCCGAUGCCAAAUUUUCUCCCGAUUUUCUACUAAGUGCAUCGGCCACCACAUUUGCUUUCCCGGGGUGGUAUAGAAUAAUAACAUCAUAGUCUUUCAACAAUUCUAACCACCAUCGCUGCCGUAUAUUUAGCUCCUUUUGGGUGAACAAGUAUUUAAGGCUCUUGUGGUCCGUGUAGAUCUCACAAUGUUCCCCAUAUAGGUAAUGCCUCCAUAAUUUUAGCGCGAAAAUAACCGCCGCUAACUCCAGAUCGUGGAUCGGGUAGUUUUUCUCAUACGUCUUCAAUUGGCGCGAAGCAUACGCUAUAACUCGGCCGUUUUGCAUCAAGACAUACCCGAGUCCUACGUAGAAAGCAUCACUAUAAACCACAAAGGUCUCCCCCGGCGUCGGUAGAGCAAGCACUAGGGUCGUGGUCAAUUUUUCUUUUAGUUCCUCGAAGCUCCGCUCGCAUUCGGGGCUCCAAACAUACUUCACCCCUUUGUGCGUAAGACGCGUUAGUGUAGUAGUUAUUUUAGCAAACCCCUCUACGAACCGCCGGUAAUAGCCCGCUAGCCCAAGGAAACUGCGGACCUCCGAUACGCUCGUUGAUCGAGGCCAAUCUCUAAUUGCCUCAACUUGCUUCGGGUCCACCGAGAUACCAUUGCCCGAAAUUACAUGACCAAGGAAAGUGACCUCCGAUAGCCAAAAGUCGCAUUUCUUCGACUUGGCAUAUAACUUCUCUUUUCGGAGUAUUUCCAACACGGUCCUUAAGUGCUCCUCGUGUUGUUCCUCGGUCCGAGAAUAUACCAAUACGUCGUCAAUGAAUACCACGACGCAACGGUCCAAUAGCGGACGGAAGACCCUAUUCAUUAAGUCCAUAAAUGCCGCCGGGGCGUUAGUAAGCCCAAACGGCAUCACCGUGAACUCAUAAUGGCCAUACCGCGUACAGUACGCCGUCUUGUGCACAUCCUCGGGCCGUAUCUUCAACUGAUGAUACCCCGACUGAAGGUCUAUCUUCGAGUACACCCUCAACCCUUGCAAUUGAUCGAAUAAAUCGUCAAUCCUCGGCAAUGGGUACUUGUUCUUCACUGUGACCUUAUUCAACUCGCGGUAGUCCACGCAGAGUCGAAGUGUGCCAUCUUUCUUUUUAACAAAUAGCACCGGAGCUCCCCACGGUGACACGCUUGGCCUCACGAAGCCUUUGUCGAGCAAGUCUUGCAACUGUGCCUUAAGCUCUUUUAGCUCCGCGGGUGCCAUUCUAUACGGGGCCUUCGAAAUUGGAGCCGCCCCGGGUACCAAGUCAAUAAUGAACUCGAUUUCCCAGUCCGGUGGCAAACCCGGUAACUCCACCGAAAAUACGUCCGGAAACUCACACGCCACCCGAAUACCACUAAGUUCCGAGCGCUCCUUCGGGGCUUCUACCACUGUCGCCAAAUAGGUUUCACAACCACCUCUUAUCAUUUUCCUCGCCCGUGCCACCAACACGGUCGCCGCGAAGAGCGAGCUUUUAGCUGCCCGAUACACUAGCUCCUCUCGAUUAGGCUCACGAAACGUGAUUACCUUACUUUCGAAAUCUAUCACAGCAUAAUACUUGGAGAGCCAGUUGGUCCCCAAGAUCACGUCGAAACCCCACAUUCGAUUCAACACCAACAGGUCGAUCGGCAUAACCCAAUCACCUAUCUGCACUGGGCACGCUACACACUCUUCGUGAAUAUGGAAAGUAUGCUAGACCGAAUUCACCGUCCAAUAGUCAUAAUGAUGCACAAUCUUAAUGCCAUGAGCCCUAGCGAAUGAUGCAUCUAUGAAUGAAUGUGAUGCACUAGUGUUGAAGAAAGCUCUAGCUCUAGUGCCUCUGAUUGAGAUAAUACCUGCCACGAUGUCGUCGGAAACAGGAAUCGGCUCCUCUUCCACCUGAGUGCAAAAACCCGUCCACUCGGUGCUCUCGAUGCCUCCGGCUGACGCGAUGAAGACAAGCGUCCAGCCGAUAUAGCCGGCGGUAAUCCCGCCUGCUGCCUCGGGGUAUAAGGGACUGAUGCCGAGGUCGAUGCAGAUGAACUCCAGCUAGGGCACUCUCGUGACACAUGCCCAGGUUGGCCACACUUAAAGCAUUUUCCCUCCCGCUGCGGGCACGACGGCGGUUGAUGGUUGCCGCCGCAAAUAACACAACGGGAUGGUCUCCAACCCCUCGACUGCUGUCAGGGAUACCGAGGGGGUUUCUUAGCAUUUGGCCGGCCCUCGGUACCACCCGCUGUCCGCUUCUUGCUCUUCUCCCUUGCCUCGGCUGCGGACUCACGCUCCUCGCGCUCAUGGGCAUAACCAUGCUCCGCCGACAAAGCCCGAUCAAAGACCUCCGCAAAGGUCGUGAGCUUGAGGAUCUGCACGGCCCUAUGAAUCCCUGGCCGCAAUCCUCGUAGGAACCAGUCCGCUCGGUCCCGGUCAUCCCUGACAACAUCCGGAACGCAGUGAAUGAGGUGGGAGAACUCCUGCUCGUAGUCUGCCACCGAGCGAUCCUCUUGCCUCAACUUGCGGAAUUUCUCUUGCAACUUCCGCUUCACCGUAUCGGGGAAGUAGUUGGCGAACACCGCCCUCCGAAACUCCUCCCACAACAUAGGCGGAAGAUCGGGCGACCGAUCUCGCCUAACAAGCUUCCACCACACCUUCGCCGCCUUCUCAAGGCAAUGUGUGGCGAGGUACACCUUGUCCUUCUCCAAGGUGUUAAGGUCCUCGUAAAGUGUCUCUAUGGAGUCGAUCCAGGACUCCACCACCGCCGGUUCCACCACUCCCCCUUCGAAGGUAGGUGGGUUGAACUUCUGAAACUGAAUGAGAGCCGCCAACGCGCGCUCCCGCUCCGCCUCCUCCGCCGCACUAUCGGGGUUUGAGGUCCCCGAUCCUGCCGGCACCAUCGUAACUGGCACGACCGCCGCGACCACACCCUCGGCCGCACUCGGCACCACUGCAGGAGGCGCAGAGUGCACGGCCUCCACGGGCGCCGCCGCCACCUGCUGCCGCUCCAAGGCCUCCUGGAGCCUUUGGAUUUGCUCCCCUUGGUGCUGAAUGGAUUCCGCCUGCUGCCGCACUAUGCCAAUAAGCGCGGCCAUCUGCUCCCGAAGCUCCCGGUCGCCACCUGCUCCGGGUUGCACGGGAGCCGUACUUGACUCCUGGGCCAUAGAUCUCGUCCGCGGUCGACCACGAGGUAGCUUAGGUCGUCCACGAGGCGGCAUUGCUUCAUGAAACGAAGCAACUCACGUUAGUUACUUAGACAGUAUACUCGAUUAUACCCAAUUCGGCGAAAGCAUAUAAGUGCAUUUAUUUUCAUUCCAAAGCGUUUUGUCGUCGGCCGCCGAUCACAACACAAGGAAAAGCAAACGAAUAACAACUUAAGUUCAGUCCCUAACCACAUUAGAGACAUAAUUACAUCGAUCCAAUCCAUGCCUUCGCUAAAACUUAUUCAGUGUCGCUCACGUUUCCUAGAUCCUUAAGGUUCUCCAUUCCUAAGGGUCUCUAGGUCCAUCCUAUGCUUUCACUUUCUGGCUCUUUACGCUCGGAUACCAUCUUAUCUGUCAUGCCCCGAGCCCGAUCCUUUUGGCCGGUUCGAGAGUGUCGAACAGACGCCGAACGGACAGAACCUCCCCUGACCGCUCAAGGCUCAACAACAAGUAUCAAUAGAAUAUAAAGUUUGCAUAAGCGGAAGCAUACACAAUGGCUUGCACGAGGGCAAGCAAUAGCCAUUAGUGAAAGAAUCUACUAAAUCAUCAUACAAGUAUUUGACUAGAUUUAAAUCACAUACAUGCAUUCGACUUUAAUACAACUUUGCAUUAUUUCUUUUAUACAUCACAAGUUCUUCAAAAUAUGAUUCUUUUUCCAUUUACAUAAAUAAAGUCUUCUACAUCAUUCCUUUAACAUGAUCACAAUAUUAACAUCAUCAAGUACAAAAGAUGAUAAUAAGGGGUAUGCAACUAUGAAAAUAAAACAUCUCGGGCGGUCUCUACCUAGGGCGUGAUGCACUUACCGCGAUCGCCUGCCUGCUCGCUCGGUCCUGGCUCUGUGGAAAGAGUGGGUGUGAGAACUACAACAAAGUUUCCAGUGGGUUCGGCAACCAACCACGCCGACUAUCCCACUAGGUCUAAUCAGGCAUAAUAGAAUAGAAGAAAUAAAGUAACCAACUAACAAUGCAACUAAUAUGCCUGAACAAUAUAAAAUGCGAUGCUCGAAAUAAUGCUCAUGAUGAAUGCAAGAUCAUAAUUUCUUUACACAAUCUCUUGGCUAACCUGUAGGUUUCGCCUUCAACAAACUCACCACCCAAAAUCCUAUCAACCAGGGAGAUACCCGCCACAACCCGAUAGGACCGUUCUCUUGGGAGAUACCCGCUACAACCCAGUGAUGUCGAUUCCGGAGCACAUCGCCCGAGGGAGAGCUACCACCCUUGAGCAAGGACUAAAGGUGAGUACGAUGAAUCCUACAUUGAGGAUUCCAAGUUCAAUCCAUUCCUUAACUUUAAAGAAGACCAUGCUCAAUGACCCUUAACUCUAAGGUUGCAAUGUCAUAAUAUCUCAAUCAUUCUUUUCUUUGCAUUCUUUACCAACACUAGUGUCAUAUACACUACCAAGUUCUUGUACUCAUGCCACACUUGUUUUCUAAGUGCUAUGUUCUUGUUCUCAUGCCAAAUGUCACACUUAUUUUUCUAAGUGUUCUAGACUCAUCAAUAUCACUCGCAAGAUCUAUGUCCAUGUGUCACUUUUGUUCACUAAUCCUUCUAGGUUCUUGUCACUUGUCAUGCAUAAAUAGGGUUAUAAUUCUCACAUUCUUACAAGUAUUUUAUACGUAAUUAAACUCACGAUCAUGCAAUAAAAACUCACAAUUAACCCUACUAUGCAACAUGCUCAAUAUAUACAUAUAUGUUCAAACAUGACACUUUAGACAUAAAGAGAUUUUCGAGGUCCUUGGAAUGCACCACCCACCUCGAGUGGUCGCGUAGGUGUAGAAUACGACGACUCCCGAACUUUACGAAAGCCGAUUCCGCGUCCUAUAACCAAAAUAGUGCCAUAUUAGGCCUUUCGUACAUGAACCAUACUUAAACAUUUUCGUAACGUUAAACGGAGGUGUCCAACGCGUCGUGGACACCCCUAAUUAGGUUUCUACGGGGUCAAUUCGCCCCUCAAAAAUUCUAGGGCAAAAGUCCCAAAUUUGGUACCCUAACCAAACCCAUUGUUAAACCCUAGGUUUUGAUCUCUAAAACAAGCAAAAGAGAGCUUGUCUAACCUCUAGGUGCUCAUCUAAGGUCAACCAAGCCAUUUCUAGGGCAUUCAAGAUGAACCCUAGAAGUUCACCAUGAGAGGAUCUUGGGCUUCCAUGGAUUUUUAUGGAGCUCAAGCCUCAAGAGGUGCUCUAAUCAUCGAAGAAGCUCCAAAACCUAAGUUUUCUUGGGAGAAAUCCAAACCCUAGAGCUCUACAUGCUAAAACAACUUACCUUGGCCCAAGUUCUAGCAAGCUCCUUCUUGUUGGAGAGCUUCUAGACCCACCAAGUCCACCAAAAAUCCCUCCUCAAGCUUCUUCUUCUUCUUCUCCUUCAAGCCCUAGGUGAUUUCUAGAGAGAGAGAGGAGAGAGGAAAUAAGAGGGAGAAGUGUGUGUGUGUGAAUGGCUGUAGAGGGAGAGGGGGUUGGGUAUAUAAGGUGUUGUAACAUUUUCAACAAGACCCCUCCACUUUAUUCCCUGUGCACUGCCCAAACUGGGCAUUUUUCGCAGUAAGGGACCGGUCUCCCUGACCUGUGACCGGUCCCCAAGAGCUCCUCCCGCGGACUACGCAGGCUGCGCACGAUGCAAUCGGUCUCCCUCGAUGAGACCGGUCUCUGGGGGACCGGUCUCUGCUCGUAAGGACCGGUUCCCGAGAGCUGAUUUUUCAGGACUUAGCCGAUUUCUCAGCCACCUCGCUGCCUACGCGUUCGGGGACCGGUCUCUCCCAACAGGGACCGGUCCCCGAGAGCACAAAACCUGCAGUUUGCAGAUUUUGAUUUCCAAAGCUCUCGAAGAUCCCCAGUAAUGUAUUUUAGCAUUAUUUGACGCCUUCGGCCUCUCCGAAGUGUACCAACCUCGCCCUUUGGUCAAUUUGACCAAGGUUCGAAUUUAAUCACCGAGAUUUCGGUAUGUUACAGUUGGGGUAUACUGGUGAUGUAGGGCUCACUCCCUCUCAUUUCUCUCAAUUGCAACCACCCAACAAACACUCUCUUUCUCUCUAGAAGCUCUCCCUCUCUCUAGAAGUGGAAUCAAGAGGAGGAUAAGGUGGAGAUUGGAGCUUGAAGGAGGACCACCAUUGUUAUCUUCUUCCUUAGCUUGGAGAAGGAGCUUAGUAGAGGUAAGCUCUUUGCCUUCUCAUGGUAGAAUGCUUGGAUUAGGGUUUUAUACUGUAGAAAUGGAAUCUAAUGGUGCUCUAAGAGUAGUUAAUCUCAUUUAUUGGAAGAAUAGUAGCUUGUAUGAAGCUAAUUGCAACAAUAGUGAUUUAGGGUUCCAAAAAGAGGGCUUUUGCUCAUGAGUAGUUUUGAUCUAAAUUGAUCACUCUCUAACCUAAUUGUUAGGCCUACGAACGUGUUCGUGCACUCGGUUUGAGUAUUCGUCGAGGUUACGUGAAGAUAUUGAAGAAAAUGGCGAUUUCGGUACAGAUUGUCGCAGCACGCGGCGUAGGCUUCCAAAAAUCAAGAAACCGAAAUCGUAGCAUCGUGACAUCACCAAAAGGUGGGGGGUGUCCAUCCCGAAGCAACCGGGCUUCCUUUUAUGUCUAAGUUCUAUUUUGAUCAUAUUCAUAUAUUGAUAUUGUGCAUUAUAGGAUUAGUAAAUGAUUACAUUCCAUUUCCUUGCAUGUUUCCUAUGGUAGUGUAGCACUAUGGGCUUGACACUUGAACUUAGGUUGCAUGAGGAUUGGGUCAUAUGACAAGAAUCCUACAGUGACAAGAAUGAUGAUGAACUUGGACUUGUGAUGAUGAAAACAAGUGGCAUUCAAAUUAGUAUAGUAGAGACACUAUAAUAUGGACGACUGGCAUGUCAAUUUAGUGUAUUGAGACACAUACAACAUCAUGACAUAAAUGAGUGGCAUCAGAUCUAGUGUAGUGGAACACUAUGGCAUUUGAACCUAGGAAUAGUAGAUUUUUUCAAUUGUCAUGUUGUAGACAUUAUGCAUUGGCAUUAGUGCAGCUGAGGCAUUGUGACCCUGGUAGAUAGGGUAUCUUCUUGUGAGGAUUGGAUCAUACUCACUAGUCUGUUUUCGUUUGUCAGUGGUCACUCCACCGAAGCUGUGGUCUCCGGAGUACUUCACAUAGGGGCAGACGUAGUUGUCCCUGUCUGCGACCACGAAUGACGCACCUCACACGGUUUAUCUUAUUUUAAUUUUCCAUGGGGUAGUAUUUAUGACUCAGAUUAAUAUUUGAUAUAUAUAUGGGUAUCAAGUAUUGUGGAUUUAUGGCUUCCAAUAAAUGCAAGCGUUUAUUGUUAAUUACCCCUACAAAGUGUUAGGGCACCUUCGAUUAAGAGAUCUCUGUAAUGCUGAAAUAGACUGAAAUUAAAUAAAAGAUGAAUUUUAUAAAUAAUUCACUAUACAAUUACAUAGCAUAACCAGAGACAUACCCCCCAGCGUACAUGAAUAAAAGAGAAAAUGAUUAGUUCAACGACAUGAGUAUGACGGUCGAUUGAACUUAAUUUGGAUUACACCUAUAAUUUUAAGGGGUUAAUCCAAUUAGAUUUAACUAAAUCCUAGUUACAUGUAUUAGGAUUUAGUUGGGUUUGAAUUGAUUAGACUCUUUGAUUCAAAUUAAACUCUAAUUAGAUGCAUUAGAGUUUGAUUUGGUUAAUUGAACUUUAAUUGUAUGUGAUAAAGUCCAAUAGAAUUUGAUUUGAUAUUCAAUUUAAGCUUUCAUCCUAAAUGUAUAUGUUAGGAUUAGCCCAAAUAUUUUGAAUUAGACUCUAAUUUUAUAUCUUAGAGUCUAGUGUAAUUAGGCUCUAAGCUUAUGUGUUAGGGCUUAAUCAUAUUUACUUUGGGUUCACCAUAAGGUGAAAUGUUAACUAAAUCCUAAUUAUAUAUAUUAGGAUUAGUCAAAUUUAAUUUAAAUUAAACUCUAAGUAUAUGUAUUAGAGUCUAACUUAGCUUCAUUUAUUUGAACUCCAAGUAGAUGUAUUAAAGUCCAAUAAAUUUAAUUUGAUUAGAUGAAACCUAAUCUAUUAUUUUUUACCUUAGUCACAUAUACGAAGAUAAAUAGAUGGUUUGAUCAAUUCUAAACAAAUAUUUUAGAAUUCGAUUUAGCAUGAAUGUGGUAGCAAAUAUGACUUUAGUUUAAUGUGCUAGAGAAUUGGGUUAAGAAGAUUUGUCCUUAACAAAUUGGUAAGGCUUGGUUUCAUAUCCAUGUAGUUUAGAGUGUGAGUUUGAACUAUGGUUCUUAAGUCUCAUGAAGAUCUAAAUUGGCCUUGAUCUAGUUUGGGCACACUCUUUUUUUUUGGGUUAGGUUUGUAUUCAAACUUGAGCCUGGGCUCAGAGCGGGUUCAUGUAAUUCAAGUUAAAGUUUAAUUUUGCUGUGGGCUCAGGCAUGGACUAAAUUUAGGAUUCGGGCAUGGGCUAAAUUCAGGCCCAUGUUGUAUGGAUUCAGGUUGAGUCCUGAAUGUGGGCUCGGGCUCAAUUUAGGCUCGUAUGGCUUAAGUCCAUGUUUUCUUUAGGCAAGCCAUAGAAUUAGGCCCAGAUUUAUGUUUGAGUUGAACCUGGGUUAUGCUGAGCUUGGGUUAUGUGAUUUGAGGUGAGUACGGGCUUGGUCCAUACGAGAUUUUGAGAUGGUUAGUUUGAAAUUAUUUGGGAUUUGUUUGAGAUCAAAAUGUUAACCUCAAAAAUUUAAAUAUCUAAUUCAUAAUCAAAUUCAAUGCUUAAAAUUUCGCGUGCACUUUUCUAAUUUUCAAAUUCUCAGUCAUGAAUAAUGAAAAUUCAACUUAAUUUAAUUUGGAGCAUAGAAUGUGUCACGCCCCGAGACCGCUACCAAUUUGGUCCGGUUCGGGCGCGUCGAACAGACGCCGAACAGACAGCACCUCCCCUGUCCACCCUAGGCUCAACAAUAAGAUCUUGUACAUUUUUGUUGCCCAGGAUGACAUACAACAUACAUGAAUAAUACGAAGCACCACAUGUGCUAUACAAUUAAGAGCAAGACACACGUAAUAAAACGAGUGAUAUAAAGAGAGUAACAUCUAGCUAUUACCUCCACAAGGCAUUCAACAUUUAGAUCCUUGAUUACAUUUACAUCUCCAAAAUGAAUAUUCAUGAUAAUCUCCAAAAUAUAUAAGCAACCUCCCAAAAUACAUCAUAUGUCACGGGGUACACGAGGGUACACUAAUGCAAGUGGAAGCUGCUAACUACACCUAGGGCGCGAUGCCCUUACCACGGUCCUCUACCGGUGCUCUCUCGCUAGGCCCUACAACAGAGUGGGGUGAGAACUAUAUAAAUAUACAAUAUAAUUCCCAGUGGGUUCGGCCGCCGACUCCGCCGAUCUCCCCACUAGGUCUAAGCAGGCAUAAGUAGAUAGAUAGAUAGAUAUUUUAAGCUAUAAAUGAUUCAUAUAGAAAGAAUUGCAAGAUUCUACUAUGCCUCUAAAACAAGAGUAAACCACAUAGCCAUGUAAUCUCUAACAUGCUACCAUAACUCUAUGAAGUAUACCUGCAACUCUGCUAUGCUCAACAUGCUUAACAUGCUCGAUAUGCCCAAUAUGCUCAACUUACAUAACCCUCUUGAGUUUAUUACCCAAUCAUCUGGCUGGCCCAUAGGCGCGCCCUCGACUCACAACUCAAAUCCGUCUAUGAAGGGGGACUCGAACCACCCGAGGGAUUGUCUGCGGGACCCCAUAUAGGCUAUCCCUUGGGACCCCAAAUAGGCUAUCCCAAUCGUUUCAAGUGCCAAAACUCCGGAGCUCGCACUACUUGUGCGGAGCGACCGCCACAAGCGCUGAACAGACUGUGUGAGUAUGAUCAAAUCGGUUUCCAACGAAGGUACCCGUUCACUAUGACCAACAUGCACAAGUGUUCUUUUAACACUACGUUCUAAUGCCACUCGUCAAGUUGUUUACUUGGUAUACAUAUGCCACUCGUCAAGUAUGUACUUGGUUUAGAUGUUAUUUGCCAUAAUGCAAUUGUCCCGACUAUACUAGUCAUAUGUCAUCCAUGCAAGAUCAAGUUUUUGUUUAACUUAUCUCUAUAGGGUUCUAUGUCACAAACUCAUUCUCAUGCACCCUAAGUUCACAUGCCAAGCCUACUAUGCCGCAACACAAGAGAGCAUGCAAGAAUAGUAAAAGUAACAUCUAAAUACCCUAACAUGCAUGAUACUAUAUAUGUAGUAUGUUCAACAUAGAAAUACUUAGACAUAGGGAGAAGCCCAGUUGCUUCGGGAUGACACUCCCCACUUUUUAUCACUAUCACGAGGCUAGGGUUCCGAUUUUGUGAUUUUUGGAAGCUUUCGCCACGAGCUGCGGCAAUCUGUACCUUAACGGCUUCGUUCUUUAAUAUCUUCACGUAGCCUCGUCGUAUCGCCGAACCAACUUCGCCAACGCGUCAGAAAAUCUAGAAAUUAGGUUUAUACAUGAUCAAUUUAGAUCAAAAUCCUUCACAAGCAAAACCCCUCUUUUGAUGCCCUAAGAUGCAACUAUGCAAGAAUUCAUCAUUUGAUCUCUAAAUUCAAGCAUCAACCAUCUAUUUAGCAUCUAGGAGUUUCACUAAACCCAUUUCUAAGGCAUACAAAUCAUUACUUAGCAAUCUACCAUUGUUGCUAUCAAAGCUUAACUCUCAAACCCAAGCUCUCUUCAAGCCAAUGGUGAAGAAAAAGAAAGCUUCACCUCUAAGUAAGCUUUGCUCUAUCAAACUCCACACUUUGGAGCAAAUCCUAGAGAGAGAGAGAGAGAUUUCUCUUAUGUUGGCUCAAGUAGAGAGGAAUGAGGGAAAUGACAUAACACCCUUAUAUACAUAUAUAAGAGGAAACUUCACCUCCAAGUAAACUCCCCCAAAACACUAUUCACUUCAGCAGUUUAAAACUGACAUUUUUCGCCGAAGCCCUUCUGAACGUCCGUUUGCGCCCAAAUUUGACAGGCAGGCUCGGUUUUACUUAAUAAGUCCAAAGAAAUUUUAAUUUUUCAGUUUCGACCAUGUUUGGUCACCGAAAGCUAUACCGAACUGUAAUCUUUAUCAGAUAGCAGUCGGAUUUUAUUUUUUACUUUCCGGGGCGUCAGAAUGGUAUGAAACUUUAAAUCUAGCCUCAUAAAAAUAAUUCUGACAUAUCUUCCAGUUUUUAUAAUUUUCUGACACUGUGCAUUUUCUGCUAAUUUUUCUGCUCCGUUUCACGCAGAAAAUUCUAAAUCUUUUGUUUUCGCUCCGACUUCAACACGGGUCAUUCCAGACUUAUAUUUUACUUCUAUAAGUAGAACAAAAAUAGUAUCUCAUACUAUUUUUAUUUAUAUUUAUUUUUAUAAUAAAUUCCGACAUACUAUACCCUACCGUAACUUCUUACUUUCUGGAGUUCGGUAUCUUACAGAAUGUCCAAUGCGAUUAAAUCUCGAUUUGGUCUAAUUUGGCCAAAUCGAGAGGUUUGAUUUUGGAUAGAAUUAAGGGGUUCGAUUAUUUUUGGAACAUCACGUUGUUCUUCUAAUAAAAAGACGAUCAAAAGAAUAACAAUCAAUAAUCCGAUUGAUUUCUUUUGCCUCUUAAUUAUGAGAGAAUUAACAGAGUAUUUUUCUCUCUUUAUCUCCUUUGAAGGUACAAGACAACAAAGAUGGAUAAUCCUUCUUUGCCUCUCUAAGUAACAAAGCUCUCUCUCUCUUUUGAUGAUAUAUUUUUUACGAAGAGAAGAGCACCGCUCUCUCUCUUUUGAUAACACACUUUUUUUUUUUACAAAGAAAAGAGCACCGCUCUCUCCCUCUUUUAAUGACAUAUUUUUACAAAGAGAAGAGCAUUGCUCUCUUUCUAUACGCAGGUUAAGUUUGCCGUCGAAAAAAAAUACAUCUUGGGUAUUUCAUCGAACAGUUGGUAGGCGUGGUGCGUUGCGCAACUCCGAUUGCGUUGGAAUCGCAACAGAGAGUUGGAAGUCGCGGCUAUGAUAGAGUCGGUGUAGUGGCAAGGUCGAAGGUAAAGAAAUCGACGAGGUCGUCGGGCAUCAACUCGGGAUGGACGCCGACAUUCCGCAGCAUCCGCAGCAGGUACUCUAACAGCACCACUUCGCGCACGAUGAUCACUGCCGACGACAUCCCCUCUCCUCCGUCCGAGCGCUCGAUGAGGACGCGGAAGAGCGGGUGGUCGAUGAGGUCGGAGCUGACCAGGUACCGGCGUUGGGACUUGUCGACAUAGAUUGGGUGUAGCCCGCGCGACACGACGUCCAAAUGCUUGUCGACGGCGCUGUCGGCAUCAAAUUUUGGCUCCUCCAACCGCUGCUGCCACAUGUUGUCAUCUUCGUUGUGGGGAAUGAAGAAUCCGCAGGCGAUGAGCGAGAUGCAACGGCUGCUGCCGGAGGGGGAGUAGAAUUAUAGAAGCCUCUUUUUAAAGAAGCGCUGCUCGUUGCAAACACAGAUCGAACACCUGGUGAGCGGUGACGAGGUCGGCCAUGACGGAGACGAGGCCGGUAUCGAGGGCGUCCCGUAGAAGGCCGACCGCAGCGACGCGAAGAGCCUGGCGGACACGGCGAACAGCGGCAUGUGCUGGACGUCCGGGUCGAAGUCCAGGCUGUUGCAGGCGAUGUGGUGCGCAUUGUGGUUCUGCUUCCACCACUCGCUGCUGAUCCCCGCCAUGCAGUUCCCCGCCACCACCUGCACGAGUCGGUUCAGUGUGGGGUGAGCAGGACGUUGUAGUGGCCGGAGUCGUGGCCGAGGAAGCCGGACUGCAUCCAGAGCGCGCCCAUGAGGACCGCUGAGAGCAGGUGGACGGCAGGGCUGGACGACGCGACGACGUCGUAGACGGCGGCGGCGAGCAUGAGGAGCAUGGCCGCCAGCACGAGGAGCGGGGUGAGGUUGUCGUGCGGGAUCGCAAACACCUCGUUGCCCACGGCCACGACUGCGAUCUGGGUCGCCGGGUAGUACGCUGUCACGUUCCGCUACGCCCACCCGAGCGCGUAGCCCGAGCGCGACGCGGCCGCGAUCCUUGUCGGCGUCGACGUCGGCAUCGGCGUUCCCGCGGCUGAAGAGGCCGUAGGAGAUGGCGAUGCCCACCAGGAGGAGGUGGAGGAGACUAAAUAUUAAGUAAAAGUAGAGAGGGAGAGAGGGCUUCCUUUUUUAUUUUUUUAUUUUAUUUUUUUUAGGAGAGAGAGAGAGCGCUUUGAUGCAGCAUCAAUGGAGAAGAAGGAAAUAAUUAUUACUAUCUUUUUCUUCUCUUUCGUGAAGAAGGAAGAUAACAAGAGGUGUGUCUUUUUUUGUUUAGAAUAGGUUAGAAAAGGCUCCUUUCAAGUGGGUUCCAAAUAGAUAUUUAUGGACUUAGUUAUAACUACUUGGAAUUUUUCUCUUUUUUUUUUUAGAACGUGUAGAUGAUGGGGUAGUGGGAUGUGGGAGAUGUGGAAAGUUGGGAUCAUGGAUAUGAUAUUGCAACUUAACCCUUUUAAUUUGCUUAUAUUAUAUUUUAGUUAAAAUAAAAGAGUAAUAUAUAUAUAACAAAAUAUUUAUAUGCUUGAAGUAGAGCAUUUUACAAAUAUAUGAAAGGAAAAGGACUAAUUUGCUAAAUAGUACAUGUGUAAUAGCCAUGCAUGCCUACGAGAGCAUUCUUUCUCUUCCUUCUUUUUUGUAGUCUAUGCACCUAGUGCAUAGAUUAACCUAUGCACCAUGUUCAAAAUUUGAAUUCAAAUUUUCUCUAUCUACCUAGUGUAUAGAUCAUCUCAUACACCAUAUUCCUAUUCAAAAGUUGGAUUCAAAUUUUCUCUCCUUCUUUCUCUUUUUUUUUUCUCUUUUUUUUGUGCUUUAAUAGUCCCGCAGGCGGUCUCGGUGUACGAGUGCAGCUUCUCCUCACCUAUGAGAUUGAGAGUGAGUCGGGGUAGCAACCAUCGGGUUGGCCCUGGGGUAGCAACCUUCGGGUUUGCCAUGAGAUGGGAUAUUAUCGAGGCAUAGUUGCACUGCGCACUAUGUAGUAGCUCGUUCAUUCAUGUGAUUAUUUGAAGUCUAGUAUUACGUGGUAGAUCAUAUACUAGGUAGUAGCUCAUUCAUGUAUUCAGUUUUGAGAUAUAGUAUCAUAUUGUUGGUUUAUACUACAUAGUAGCUCAUGCAUUUCACUUGGAUAUGGCAUUCUGAUAUUUGAGGCAUAGUAGCAUGUUGCAGGAUACAUUACUAUGUAGUAGCUCAUUUUCAUUGUUGUUGAGACAUAGUAUUAUGUGUAGUUUACAUUACUAUGUAGUAGCUUAUUUUCAUUAUUGUUGAGGCAUAGUAUCAUGUGUAGUUUGCAUACUAUGUAGUAGCUCAUUUCUUUUAUUGUUGAGGCAUAGUAUCAUGUGUAGUUUACAUUACUAUGUAGUAACUCAUUUCUAUUAUUGUUGAGGCAUAAUAGCAUGUGUAGAUUGCAUACUAUGUAGUUGCUCAUACAUUGGAUCAUUGAGGCAUAGAUCAAAUACUAUGUUGUAACUCAUAUCCUUGAUUAUUGAAGGCAUAGUAGAUUGUUGCAGAUUACUUUACUAUGUUGCUUUUCAAUUUCAUAUCUAUCUAUCUAUCUGCUUGUGCCUGCUUAGAUGUCACGCCCGGGUACCAGCGGAAGCAUACCCGGUACGUGCACAGACCCGCCAUACACCUGCAGUGUAUAAGGCGUCUAUAGAACAAAGCAAGGCAAUAGGAGAAAUCAUAGGAGAUCCUAUUUCAAUAUCAGAGCAAUGUACAAGUCGAUAUAUUAUCAGUAAAAGAACAAAGAGUAUACAAUCCACAAUCCCAGCAGAAGGAGAAGAAGUAUGAACUAUAACGUCUGGAUCUACAACUCAUAUACAACACAGGGUACACAAAAACAUCUGUACAAAGGUAGUCACUCUAUACAAUGGACAUCAUCCUCGGCCGUAGCCCGAGUAGCAAGGUGAUCGAUUAGCACGCUCCUAGCAAAGUCUAGCUAGACGCGACUCCCUUGCCACGAUCCCUAGCCUCUCCUGUAGAUGGCUCUGUAAAAACAACCAUAAAAAGGGCGUGAGAACUAUUAACAAUAGUUCCGAGUGAGUAAGCCGCCAGCCUCGGCGAAUUACACCACUAGGCUCAUGAUGUACUAAUGAAAAGUAAAUGCAAUAAUUGCAUAAUGCUAACAAGUAAUGAGCAUGUAAUUGCAGGAUACCUUUCCAAUGCUAAGCAAUUAAUAAGCAUGUAAACAACAUGUAAUAGCUUUCUACAGCAAUGAAUUGAACAAUAAAGCAUAGCAGCUACUGUAAGCAUGAACAUAAAUAUGAAUGUGUAAGCAGAAACUAUACACAAUGACUGGUGAUCAUUCAUUACUGUCCAAUGUCCUUUAGCACUUUCUUUUUCAUUUACAGGGACCUACCCAAGGUAGUCCAGCUUGCGCCGCGCCUAAUGGCCCCGUGGUAGUAUACACUUCCCACGGUAAUCCACUUCGGCACCCAAUCCCGCACGAGCGAGCAACUGUCGCGUAGGCCAACUCCGGAGUGCCGGCUUGUAGGGGGCGACCCUCACAAGCAUGUGCGAAUGAGCACAAUGGCAAGCAAGCAUAAUCCACAGUCAACAAGUCUCCAGUAGUAUGUUUUACGGGUAAUGCUUUCAACAUCGAUCCUUGAUCGGAAUUUUAGUAUAACACUAUAGAGCAUAUGAACAAUAGCUAGUAUUCACUAGUAACAUGUGAGAAUACUCCAACUUUACAUAUAACAUAAAAAUCUUUUCCACUAUCAUGGCACUAUUAGCUUAGGCAUAAAAUAUGUUCUCGUGCUCUAAUCUAGAGUAGUCAAGAGAGUGUCACUGUUCUUACAAGCAUGUCAUUUUCUUACAAGCAUGUCGUUGUUCUCUAUAAACAUGUCAUUGUUCUCUACUUUAUAAGCAAUAAAGUCAUGAGAGUGUCAUAGUUUGCUACUUAAUAGAGAUUUCGAUUCAACUCUACUAAAGUAUAGUGACUCGUCAAAAGUCCUAUUUCAAGCCCAAGCGCCCACAACAUCUCCAAUUGGCGUACAUAUAGAACAUAGGGGAGUUCCACUUGCUCUGGUUAGGUCCGACCCACCUAUUAUGAAGCUCCAAUUAGUCACACGAAGUCCCAAUAUACUGCUCAACAAGGCUCCGAUCCUGCUGAAAACAAGAUAAGAAAGUCGUGCCGAAACAAUUACUCAAAACUCCAAUUUCGGCAAAAUUCACAAGAAGUACAAAAUGGAAACUUAAUUCUCUGCUUUUGGGCUAGGUAUAUACCUCAAGUUAAGCCUCUAAAAGCCUCUAUAAGUCAACGAAAAGCACUCCAAGACCCGGUCGCAAGCCUGCUGCGAUCAACACGAAAACGGCACCAACAACGUCAAGAAUCAACAUACAACAUCGGAAUCUUGAAAUUUCAGUUUUCUACCUGAAAUUCUUGCUUUCCUCAGGUUAUAGCACCUUCCUCACUUGUCCCCAAGGUCACUAAAUAAGUUUAAUUAGGUUCGAAAACCUGCUGCGAACAUAAGGAUCCAAACUGCAUUAGUAAAUCGCAUAAAGUGCCGAAAUCGCUUCAUAAAGACCUAAUUAGCUCUACUAAGCUUCAAAGUAACAUAUCCCAAGUUUAAGGAAGUUAAUCCACAGCUAAAUAACUCAGCUUUAAGUGUUAAAACCUCAGCCUAACACAGCACGAAGCAGAAAUGCGAAAGAGAUACUCAACUCGCCGAAAACAACAUCAAUUACGAAGAACUUGAGUCGAUUACCUGCUUAGGCAUCCAACCAGCAAACCCCUGGUCCAAAGCUGCGAAAAAAAAAACCUCCAAAAUACUCUCUCCCACGACCACGCAACCUCUGCGAUGCUCGUAAUCAGUGAAGAACGCGCGUGGCGACGAAAACGGCUAAAACGGCGAGUUCUUUGUAGAGAGAGAAAAACCCAAGAGAGAGACAGUGUGGAGGAGGUGAAGAAGUCUUCUCUGGGCUCCAGCACCAUCUGAAGAGGUCCAGGGGUCGAGCUGGGAGGAUAGGGAUGAGUAAAAGAGGUGAAAAGACCAAAACAGCCUUGCUGCCACGCAGCUGCAGCUGCUGCUGCUUGCUGUACCAGUACAGCAUUAGGCUUGUACCGGUACACCAAUGCAAAAAUUGCAGAUUUUGCAAUAGCAAUGCACUUUCUCGUCUCCGGCAAUCCGAUCACUCUCUAACUUGUCCCAAAACAUAUCCAAGCCUUUUAGAACAUGUAGGAUAGUUCCAUAUUCCAUUCCACUCACUCGAACUCCGCAAUUUGCACAAGUUUAGUGUAUUACAUUUACCCCGCCUAAAAAGAAGUUUCGUCCGCGAAACUUAUGAUCACUUACCUCAAGAUUCUGUCGAGAAAAGAUAGGGGUAGUGCUCCAACAUUGCAUUCUCCAAUUCCCAAGUAGCUUCUCGUUCAUCGUGAUUGCUCCAAAGUAUCUUGACGUACAGUAUCUCGCGGUUUCGAAGUCGUUUCAUUUCACGAGCUAGGAUUCUCACGGGAUGUUCUUCAAAACUCAAAUCUUCUCGCAAAUCCACUAGAGCGCUCUCAAAUAUGUGGGUUGGAUCAAAAAUAUACUUUCGAAGUGUCGAUACAUGAAACACAUUGUGUACUCCUGAUAGGCUCGGCGGCAAAGCAAGCCGAUAUGCUACGGGGCCUAUCCGCUCCAACACCUCGUAGGGUCCAAUGAAUCGAGGACUCAACUUUCCUCGAAUACCAAAUCUUUUAACUCCUUUCGUCGGUGAAACCUUCAGAAAUACAUGAUCGCCAACUUGAAAUUCCAAUUCUCGCCGACGUUUGUCCGCAUAACUCUUUUGUCGAUUUUGGGCUGUCAGUAGACGUUCUCGCGCAAGUCGAACUUUAGCUUCAGCCUCUUGUAAUACAUCGGGACCCAAAACCAAUCUCUCACCCACUUCACUCCAAUGAAGUGGUGAUCUGCACUUUCUACCAUAAAGGGCUUCAAAAGGUGCCAUCUGAAUACUUGCUUGAUAACUAUUGUUAUAAGCAAAUUCAGCCAUAGGCAAGAACUGUGGCCAACUGCCCUGGUAAUCAAUCACACAGGCCCGCAACAUAUCCUCAAGGGUCUGGAUGGUACGCUCAGACUGCCCAUCACUCUGGGGGUGGAAAGCAGUACUAAAAUCCAAUCGAGUACCCAUGGCCUCCUGUAAACUCUUCCAGAAAUGUGAAACGAAUCGGGUGUCUCGAUCUGAAACAAUCGAAGCAGGUACUCCGUGUAAUCGCACAAUUUCAUCAAGAUACACUUGUGCGAGUCUUUCCCCCGACCACACCGUAUGAAUUGGAAUAAAGUGGGCAGAUUUAGUCAAUCGAUCAACAAUUACCCAAAUUGCAUCGUGACCUGCUUGUGAGCGAGGUAAUCCAACGAUGAAAUCCAUAGUGAUCCUCUCCCACUUCCACACUGGUAUGGGUAAACUCUGUAGUUUUCCUGCAGGAAGUCGAUGUUCAGCCUUAAUUUGCUGACAGAUUAAGCAUUUAGCCACGAAGUCAGCAACUUCCUUUUUCAUUCCAGGCCACCAGUAAGUUAACUUCAGAUCUUUAUACAUUUUCGUACUCCCAGGGUGUACAGUAUACGGCGCCCGAUGUGCUUCUAUUAGAAUCUCUUCUUUAAUACCAGAAUCUGCCGGUACACAAAGUUUAUCCCCGAAUUUCAACAGUCCCUGAUCAUCCACUCGAAAAUCACCAACAUAAUCAAUAGUGAUUUUAUCUCGAAUCUUUUGCAGAGAUUCGUCUUGAGCUUGCUUUUCUUUAAUUCGAUCGAUCAGGGUAGGCUGCAUCACUAAUGACAUAAGUCUCCAAGGCGUCUCGGGAGCUACAACUUCCAAAUUCAACUGCUCCAUUUGUUUGACCAGUAGUGGUUGCAGAGUUAUCGACAUCGCCAAAUUUUUCGUCGAUUUUCAACUUAAAGCAUCUGCUACGACAUUAGCUUUUCCAGGAUGAUAGAGGAUGGUCAAAUCAUAAUUCUUGAGUAACUCCAACCAUCUACGUUGCCUCAAGUUUAAUUCCUUCUGUGUAAACAGAUACUUUAAGCUUUUAUGAUCUGUAUAAACUUCGCAACGCUCGCUGUAGAGGUAGUGGUGCCAAAGCUUUAAAGCAAAUACCACAGCUGCUAACUCAAGAUCAUGUGUAGGGUAGUUCUUUUCAUAAUCUUUCAAUUGGCGAGAGGCAUAGGCAAUUACUCUGCCACUCUGCAUUAGAACACACCCUAAUCCGUUCAGCGACGCAUCGCUGUAAAUCACAUAAUCUACUCCCGUAACAGGUAGUGCGAAGAUCGGGGCAGUAGUUAACCGUUCUUUCAACUCUUGAAAGCUUCUUUCACAGGCUUCAUUCCACAGAAACUUAGCUCCUUUAUGUGUGAGUCGAGUGAGAGGAGUAGACAUCUUCGCAAAUCCUUCUACAAAUCUUCGGUAGUAUCCCGCCAAACCAAAGAAACUCCGAAUUUCUGUGACACUGGUCAGCCUAGGCCAAUCUUUAAUCGCUUCAAUCUUCUUGGGAUCCACAGCUAUCCGAGUUUCAGAAAUCACAUGGCCCAGAAAUGCCACUUCUCGAAGCCAAAAUUCACAUUUCUUUAAUUUUGCAAACAGUUUCUUUUCUCGAAGUACUUGUAACACUACUCUUAGAUGGUUUUCAUGCUCUUCAUCACUUCGAGAAUAUAUCAAAAUAUCGUCGAUGAAUACGACCACAAACCUGUCCAGAUAAGGCUUAAAGACACGGUUCAUUAAAUCCAUAAAGACUGCUAGGGUAUUUGUCAGUCCAAAUGGCAUAACUUUGAAUUCGUAAUGCCCAUACCGUGUUCUGAAGGCGGUCUUGGAAACUUCUUCAGGCUUAAUCUUAAGCUGAUGAUAACCUGAUUGCAAAUCAAUCUUCGAAUAUACUUUCGAUCCUUGCAACUGAUCGAAUAAAUCAUCGAUUCUGGGUAAUGGAUAUUUAUUCUUGAUUGUUACUUUGUUGAUUUCUCUAUAAUCCACGCACAAUCGAAGAGAUCCAUCAUUCUUCUUGACAAAUAACACCGGUGCUCCCCAAGGUGACACACUCGGUCGAAUGAAUCCUUUAUCUAAAAGAUCUUGUAACUGUGCCUUCAGCUCUUUCAAUUCAGCGGGUGCCAUCCUAUAAGGCGCUUUAGAAAUAGGGGUAGUCCCAGGAACAAGAUCAAUCACAAAUUCAACUUCCCUAUCAGGUGGCAUGCCUGGCAAUUCAGCUAGAAACACAUCCCCGAAUUCUCGCACAACCGGGAUAUCAUCAAUCUUGACGGCUUCUCCGUUACUCACAGAAAUGCUAGCCAAAUAGGCUACACAACCUCUCCGUAUCAACUGUCGGGCUCGCGAAGAGCUAAUAGUCAUUGCGAACAAUGAACUCUGACACCCCCUAUAAACAAACUCUUGCUGACCCGGUUCCCUAAAGGUCACCGUCCUAUUCGUGCAAUCUAUAGUGGAAUAAUACUGAGUAAACCAAUCCAUACCCAAUACUACAUCAAAGUCACCUAGUUUGUGUAGUGCCAAUAAAUCCACUGGCAUAAUCCAGUCGCCUACCUGAAUUGGGCAGCGAGGGCAAAAUUCACGAAUCUCUAGGGUAUGGUCGGGCACGAUCACUCAUCCCAAAUGCAAAGUAGGCACUACCUGAAUGCUAUGCAACUCGGCGAACUGCCGAUUAAUAAAAGAAUGCGAAGCACCAGUAUCAAAUAAUGCACGAACACGAAUAUCAUAAAGCAUAAUGAUACCUGCUACGACAUCCUCUGCUGCUGCGGCCUCCUCAGUCUGGGCGGCAUACAUACGCCCACUCGAAUUCUGCCGAGAACUCUCAGACGGCCGCUGUCCCGGUGAUCGUCUAUACUGAGAGGGUGCUGACGGGGUUCCCUGACUCAGAGCUGAAGAUGCAGGUGCUGAUGCUGAUGAGGGUGCAGGCAAAGAACCUCUCGAGCAAUCUGAGCGAAAGUGGCCCUCCUGACCACAGAGAAAACAUCUGCCCCCACGUUGUGGACACUGUGGCGGUACGUGAGGCCCACCACAGAUAACACAACGCGGCGGUCGACGAGGCUCGGGUGCUCCACGGGGUGCUGAAGAACCUCGACCCCUCGACUGUCCUGACUGUCCCCUCGGAUACUUUGGUGGUCUCCUAAAGGACUGCUGACCACUGCUCUCAACUGCAGGUCUCUUUCCUUUGCCUCGAUCCACAACGUCUCUUUCCUUCAUGAUUUCUGCCCCUUUCUCAACAAUCAAGGCUCGGUUCACCACAUCUCUGUAAGUCGAGAGGUUUGGCACCUGGACUAAUCUGAAAAUCGCAGGCCGCAAACCCACCUAAAAAAUACGGGCCUUGUCCUCAUCAUCUCGAACCACAAAAGGAACGCAGUGCAGUAAUCGGGAGAAUUCUCGCUCAUACUCUGCCACUGUCCUGUCCCCCUGCUUCAGGUUUCUCAGGUCCCUUUCCAUUUGCCUCUUUACACUCUGAGGAAAGUAGGUCGUCAACAAUAAGUCCUUGAACGUGCUCCAUGUGAUCGCAGACAAAUCAGUAUGGGGAUCCUCACGAAUAUCCACCCACCACCUGUAAGCCUCGCCGUCAAGGUGGUGCGUCGCAAACCACACCCGAUAUCGCUCCUCAACAAAAGUGUCAUAAAAUAACUUCUCCAUGUGCAUUAACCAUUUCUCGACCACCCAGUGAUCUGCUUUCUCCCCGUCAAAAAUACGAGGGGUACAACGACGGAAUUCAUUCAAUUGUUCCAUCAUCCGCUCUCGCUCCUCAGCCCCCACCAUCUCCGGUAACACUGUCCCUGAUGCCACUACAGGUACUGAUGGUGGUACUCCUGUCUCCUGUCGGGUCUCUGCCCUCGGAGCUACUGGGGGUGUAUCAGGUACUGGUGACCGUGCUCUCACUGUCGCAUCCCUGUCUGGUACUGUAGGUAUAGGAUCAGGAAUCUCUCUGUCAGUCGUCUGCCGCAGUAGUAAAUCCUUUAACCUCUUCAUCCUGUCCUCCUGCCGAUGCGCGGCAUCCAUCUGCUGUUGCGCGGUCGCAGCCUGCUGAGCAACCAAAUCUGUCAACUUCGCGAGCUGAUCCUGCAACUCAUGGAUCCCACUAGAUCCAGAAGUAACGGAGGUCCCCACUUCUUCCGCAUCCGCCGCCUCAGCUGCCCCGGCGGCUUGCGAACGAGUCAAAGGCAUCUUGAGCUGCAGCACAAAAACAAAUAUAGAUCAAUAAAACCUAUACUAUUGAACCUUCAUUGAGGAUAUAAACCAGCUAAUAAAGCGAAAGUAAUGAAAUGUAACGCGUACUAACUUCCGAUGUCACGUUGUCGGCCGCCAACGUGGCCUUCUGCAAAGUUAGUAAUUGCACAUUCCGAUCAAACUCCUACCAUUCAGAGUUUAUAAAUUACCCAAUCAAAAUACUUUCGCUAACCACAACCUCAACUAGACCUCGUCUCUCACGAGCCUAAUCUUAUAGUCCAACCAACCUAAGAUUUGCUAAGUCUACUAAGACUCAACCCUAGGCUCUGAUACCACUAUAAUCUGUCACGCCCGGGUACCAGCGGAAGCAUAUCCGGUACAUGCACAGACCCGCCAUACACCUGCAGUGUAUAAGGCGUCUAUAGAACAAAGCAAGGCAAUAGGAGAAAUCAUAGGAGAUCCUAUUUCAAUAUCAGAGCAAUGUACAAGUCGAUAUAUUAUCAGUAAAAGAACAAAGAGUAUACAAUCCACAAUCCCAGCAGAAGGAGAAGAAGUAUGAACUAUAACGUCUGGAUCUACAACUCAUAUACAACACAGGGUACACAAAAACAUCUGUACAAUGGUAGUCACUCUAUACAAUGGACAUCACCCUCGGCCGUAGCCUGAGUAGCAAGGUGAUCGACUAGCACGCUCCUAGCAAAGUCUAGCUAGACGCGACUCCCUUGCCACGAUCCCUAACCUCUCCUGUAGAUGGCUCUGUAAAAACAACCAUAAAAAGGGCGUGAGAACUAUUAACAAUAGUUCCGAGUGAGUAAGCCGCCAGCCUCGGCGAAUUACACCACUAGGCUCAUGAUGUACUAAUGAAAAGUAAAUGCAAUAAUUGCAUAAUGCUAACAAGUAAUGAGCAUGUAAUUGCAGGAUACCUUUCCAAUGCUAAGCAAUUAAUAAGCAUGUAAACAACAUGUAAUAGCUUUCUACAGCAAUGAAUUGAACAAUAAAGCAUAGCAGCUACUGUAAGCAUGAACAUAAAUAUGAAUGUGUAAGCAGAAACUAUACACAAUGACUGGUGAUCAUUCAUUACUGUCCAAUGUCCUUUAGCACUUUCUUUUUCAUUUACAGGGACCUACCCAAGGUAGUCCAGCUUGCGCUGCGCCUAAUGGCCCCGUGGUAGUAUACACUUCCCACGGUAAUCCACUUCGGCACCCAAUCCCGCACGAGCGAGCAACUGUCGCGUAGGCCAACUCCGGAGUGCCGGCUUGUAGGGGGCGACCCUCACAAGCAUGUGCGAAUGAGCACAAUGGCAAGCAAGCAUAAUCCACAGUCAACAAGUCUCCAGUAGUAUGUUUUACGGGUAAUGCUUUCAACAUCGAUCCUUGAUCGGAAUUUUAGUAUAACACUAUAGAGCAUAUGAACAAUAGCUAGUAUUCACUAGUAACAUGUGAGAAUACUCCAACUUUACAUAUAACAUAAAAAUCUUUUCCACUAUCAUGGCACUAUUAGCUUAGGCAUAAAAUAUGUUCUCGUGCUCUAAUCUAGAGUAGUCAAGAGAGUGUCACUGUUCUUACAAGCAUGUCAUUUUCUUACAAGCAUGUCGUUGUUCUCUAUAAACAUGUCAUUGUUCUCUACUUUAUAAGCAAUAAAGUCAUGAGAGUGUCAUAGUUUGCUACUUAAUAGAGAUUUCGAUUCAACUCUACUAAAGUAUAGUGACUCGUCAAAAGUCCUAUUUCAAGCCCAAGCGCCCACAACAUCUCCAAUUGGCGUACAUAUAGAACAUAGGGGAGUUCCACUUGCUCUGGUUAGGUCCGACCCACCUAUUAUGAAGCUCCAAUUAGUCACACGAAGUCCCAAUAUACUGCUCAACAAGGCUCCGAUCCUGUUGAAAACAAGAUAAGAAAGUCGUGCCGAAACAAUUACUCAAAACUCCAAUUUCGGCAAAAUUCGCAAGAAGUACAAAAUGGAAACUUAAUUCUCUGCUUUUGGGCUAGGUAUAUACCUCAAGUUAAGCCUCUAAAAGCCUCUAUAAGUCAGCGAAAAGCACUCCAAGACCCGGUCGCAAGCCUGCUGCGAUCAACACGAAAACGGCACCAACAACGUCAAGAAUCAACAUACAACAUCGGAAUCUUGAAAUUUCAGUUUUCUACCUGAAAUUCUUGCUUUCCUCAGGUUAUAGCACCUUCCUCACUUGUCCCCAAGGUCACUAAAUAAGUUUAAUUAGGUUCGAAAACCUGCUGCGAACAUAAGGAUCCAAACUGCAUUAGUAAAUCGCAUAAAGUGCCGAAAUCGCUUCAUAAAGACCUAAUUAGCUCUACUAAGCUUCAAAGUAACAUAUCCCAAGUUUAAGAAAGUUAAUCCACAGCUAAAUAACUCAGCUUUAAGUGUUAAAACCUCAGCCUAACACAGCACGAAGCAGAAAUGCGAAAGCGAUACUCAACUCGCCGAAAACAACAUCAAUCACGAAGAACUUGAGUCGAUUACCUGCUUAGGCAUCCAACCAGUAAACCCCUGGUCCAAAGCUGCGAAAAAAAAACCUCCAAAAUACUCUCUCCCACGACCACGCAACCUCUGCGAUGCUCGUAAUCAGCGAAGAACGCGCGUGGCGACGAAAACGGCUAAAACGACGAGUUCUUUGUAGAGAGAGAAAAACCCUAGAGAGAGAGAGUGUGGAGGAGGUGAAGAAGUCUUCUCUGGGCUCCAGCACCAUCUGAAGAGGUUCAGGGGUCGAGCUGGGAGGAUAGGGAUGAGUAAAAGAGGUGAAAAGACCAAAACAGCCUUGCUGCCACGCAGCUGCAGCUGCUGCUGCUUGCUGUACCGGUACAGCAUUAGGCUUGUACCGGUACACCAAUGCAAAAAUUGUAGAUUUUGCAAUAGCAAUGCACUUUCUCGUCUCCGGCAAUCCGAUCACUCUCUAACUUGUCCCAAAACAUAUCCAAGCCUUUUAGAACAUGUAGGAUAGUUCCAUAUUCCAUUCCACCCACUCGAACUCCGUAAUUUGCACAAGUUCAGUGUAUUACAUUAGACCUAGUGGGAAAAUCGGCGGAGUCGGCGGCCGAACCCACUGAAAACUAUAUUUAUAUAGUUCUCACCCCACUUUGUUGCAGGGCCUAGCGAGACCGUACCGGCAGAGGACCGUGGUAAGGGCAUAGUGCCCUAGUAGCUAGUAGCUUUCCCUCUUUCAUUAGAGUACCCUCAUAUACAUAGAGAUGUGAUGUAUUUGGGAGUUACUUAUGUAUUUGGAGAGCCAUCUUGUAUCAUGAGAAGAAUAUGUAUUCAUUUUGGAAGAUAAAAAAGUAAACCAAUAUGUAAAUGAUGAAUGUGAUGUUAUAGUUAGAUGUACAUCUCUUUAUUUCACUUAUAUAUUACUUGUGAUUCUUGCUCUUAAUUGUAUAGCACUUGUGGUGCUUCUUGUUAGAUCAUGUAUGUUGUUUGAAUUUCUCCUGGGCAAAUUCUUGUACAUGAUCUUGUUGUCGAGCCUUGGGCGGACAGUGGAGGUGCUGUCCGUUCGGCGUCUGAUCGACGUGCCCG
rnacentral:lncRNA from 1 species